rnacentral:lncRNA from 1 species
UGAAGAAGAAGAAGAAGAAGGAAGAGACGUAAGGAGGAGGGCAGAAGCAACCAACCCGAAUAAUGAUGUCGGUAAGUCCAGCUGAAUACACCAAUCAAUCAUUAAUCAACAAUUACUCACUUUCAUCCCUCCAUCACUAUCAACUUCUUUAUUAUUAAUUCACUGCUUUUCUUUCGUCGUCGUCGUCUUCUUCUUCUUCUUCUUCUGUAUACACUUAGGUAGUAGUAUACGCACAUAUUAAAGCACCAUAUGAUAUAUAUAAUCAGAAAAGCAUAUCAGAUGAGCGCAUUUAGUCAACUUCUCUCCAAUCUAAUCAAUGAAUUCUGGAAAUUAUUUAUUAAUUAACACCCCCCACCUUUGAAUUGAUUAAUGUCGGUGUUCCAUCCAAGGCCACCCUUCCACUAUUUGUAUCGUCAUUUCUUCCUACAGAAGCCAUCGUGUUUGUUCUUUUGUAUUAAUUUAUGCAGCAGAGGCUAUAUUGUCAUCAACCCACAAAUAGUACUGGGAGCAGCAGAGUUGACGGAAGAUAUUAACUUAUUAGGAAUGAUAGACAUCAUUACUGUUCAAUUACAUUUCUCUGGAACAAGAAGAGAGAAAAUAACCAUCAGAUCAAUUGUGGGAGAUGAUCACUUUACUUACUGCUCCCUUUCUGGCAGAACCCUCCCAAAUUAUUACAAUUUCAUCCCCCCAGCAUUUAUCACACUUUCUCUAAUCAAUUCCUAUAAUUGUAUUCCACAUCACUAAUCUUUUUUUCAUAUUCAUAAACCCCCCCAAAAAAGAAAAUAAAAAGAAGACGUGUAAUUGUGAUGACGAUCGAUGAUAAUCAUGGUGCUGAAUUUUCUUGUAAUAAUAAACAGUCUUGACUGAUGAUGGAUGAUUUUAGUAGUAGAAGAAGAUGCCCAAGGCCUCCAUGGGGUCAUGUUGAUGACUUGUCCACCACCUCACCUGUUUCCUUCUUUACCCUCGUCUUCUCCCCGUAAUAACCAACGUACCACUUCACGAACUUCCUCAACCCGCUCGCCAAAUCCGUCGUCGGCUUGUACCCGAAAUCCCUGAACGCCUGGCUCACGUUCGCGUGGGUGAAUGGAACGUCGCCGUUUCGAGGCAUCGUUACCACGUGCUUCUUCGCCUUCUUGCUCAGUAGCGCCUCCAAUAUCGACACCAGCUGCCCCACCGGCACCGGCGAUGUGUUCCCCAAGUUGUAUACCCUAAGCUGGGCUGCCCCUUUCUUCUUCCCUCCGCUUCCCGUGCUCUUCUCCGCAGUGUCCAGAGCCCCUAAGCAUCCCUUCACCACGUCGUCAAUAUACGUGAAGUCACGCGCCACUUGCUUCCCUUCCUGAGUCUCGUACACAUCGAUCGAUUUCCCGUUCAGGAUGUCCUUGGUGAAGAAGAAGUAAGCCAUGUCAGGGCGUCCCCAGGGGCCGUACACCGUGAAGAAUCGGAGUCCGGUCAGGGACAAUCCGUAGAUGUGGUUGUAGGUGUGUGCAAUUUCCUCUCCGGCCUUCUUCGUGGCGGCGUAGAGGCUCGCCGGCCUGUCGGUGCGGUGGCUCUCGGAGAAAGGGACAUUGGUGUUCAGACCGUAGACGGAGCUGGAGGACGCCCAGACGAUUGCCGGCUGCGGAUUGGCUGCCUUGGCAACUUCCAAGAGGUUGAUGAAUCCGGCAAUGUUGGAGCUGAUAUAAGAUUGGGGAUUCUGCAUCGCGUAGCGGACUCCAGCUUGAGCAGCUAAGUGGAGGAUGUGAGAGAACGGGACGACGUCGAAUAGCUUGGUGAGAAGCGGACCAUCGUUCAGAUCCCCUUCUACGAUGAACACCUCGUGCUUGAGCAACAUCUCCUGGCGAGAUCUCUUGAGCGAAGGAUCAUAGUAGCUGUUGAAAUUGUCGAGGCCGAGAACUCCAUCGCCUCGCUUCCUGAGCGCGAGGGAGCAAUGACUUCCGACGAAUCCGGCAGCUCCAGUAACAAGGAUGGAGAAUCCGUUGGGGCGGCGAGGAGUGGAGGAGCGACGGACCUGUUUCUCCCAAGCGGAUCCGCCAAUUGCGGAGGAGGAGGAAGUGGAAAAGGAAGAGGAGAAAAAGCUGCCGCCAGUGGAUAAGAAGCUGUGUCGGUGAAUUGUGGAGUCGGAAUGGAGGCGGUGGUGGUGGGAGAGGUGAGGGUAAUUGAUGGUGAAGAAGAGAAUGAGGAGGAGAGCAAUGAGUAGAGUAGCGCGAAAGAGGAGCUUGGAGGAGGCGUUUAAGAGCUUAGUGCUCUGUAUCCGGCGCAAGUAGCUGUUGUAGCGCUCUAGCUUGAUUGUCUUGCUGGUGUCAGGUGGGGAGGCCAUUGUUAGUGGGAAGGUAGGUAGAGAGGAGCAGAGCCCUGAAAUUGAGAAAAGUGCGGAAGGGGGGAAGGUUAUAAGAGGAAGGAGGAGGGAAAUGAUUAUUUUAUAUUAAGAGAAAAUAAAGAUAAUUAAUUUCUGAGCGAGUGAGAGCGUGAGAGAGAGAGAGAGAGUGUAUGUGUUAAUUUUGUGUAAUUACAAUUGGAUGGGGUUGUUGAAUGCUGACGGGUAUGUCAUUGUGGGAAAUGAAUACUUGGAUUCAUAUUCAAACACUUGGUGGGUUUAAUUUGAAAUGACCUUGAGACUUAGCUACUACUGCAUGCAUGACUGUAAUAUUGGCCAUUGGGUAGAGCAUUCACCAUCUUCUUUUUUUUUUUACGGUAUAUUGUGCUUCUUGCCUUUGCUAAGUGUUAGUUGCUGGGCUGGGUGUUCAGCAUUAGCUUCAAGGAAAGUGCCGACCUUCCUCCAUUAACAGAAUGAUAAUUCAGAAUAUAAAUAAAUAAAUGACAAGAAAUGAGACACAGCUAGCUACCCCCAUGUGACUUACACGUGUUCAGAUGUGAACAUCGUCUAAUUUUAUUUCUUGCCCAUUUCGUCAAUUUUUUCCACAUUUUUUAUCAAUAUAUCCACAUUUAUUAUUAUUAUUAUUAUUAUUAUUAUUAUCAUUAUUUUCCUACAUACUUUUUUAUUCCAUCUAACAGUGAACGCACUUAAUGGCUCUCAAUUCUCAUUACUCGCUACACAUUUGUCAUGUCAUUUUAAUCAAACACAGAUCUAUCCAUAACAUAAAUUCAUUAGGUAUAUAAGACUCGCCUUGUUCACGCCUUCGUAUUUGAGGUCCAUAUUUUACUUCAUUUUAUUCGUAUUUAAUAUGAAUAGAUUAAUAUAUCCGCAAUAAAAAUUUUAUUUAUAUUUUUUUAAAAUAAUUUUUUAUCAUAUUAAUCAUUGAUAGCAGUUUCAAAAUUUUGUUUCUUCGUAAAAAAAAUAUUGUAAGGUGUAGUAAAUAUUGUAUACAAAAACAUCACACCAAAAAGGAGGCGUCACACCAUGAACAAUAGUCGCGAGGUGAUGAGAGUGCCGAGCUAACUCGUGUGCUAACUCAUUCUUAUUUCUCCUAACACAUCACACUUUGUAAUUAGUGUUUUCCUAAAGUAAUCCUCUGCAUGCUGAAAUAGUAGUACCAAACUCCGAUAUAUCCGACUUCUCCCUCUCCUUCCUGGACGGUGAUGUUAAAUCUCCUCCGUUGCAUCAAGUAUUGGAGCACCUCACCGUUUGAGUCACGAACCACCAGCCCCACUCCAUAACUUCCAUCCAUCAUUGCGGUCUCCAUAUUGCAUUUAACAAAACCGUCACUCGGAGGGUGCCAAUAUGCACAGGGCGCCUGAUGUUGAGCGCUUGGUGACGAACAAUAGUCUCCGGUGUGCUCGACAUCCGCGUGAAGACUUGCUCCUUUCGCUCCCGCCACACACCCCAAAUAAUAGCAAAGGCCUGUUGAAUAUGAAAUUCGGCUCCGGACAUCACAACCUCAAAAAUCCAUUGUCUAAAGUCGUUGUUUGCUCCUUCCAGGCCCUCGAUCCACGUCGUUAAACCUCCCACUCUCCAACACUCACGAGCCAGGUCACAUGGCAAGAAAAGGUGAAGCAUUGAUUCCUCUGAUUCUGCACAACAUCCACACACAUCAUCCACCGCCAUACCUCGUCGUUGCAACGAUUUGCGGGUGGCCACUGCUUCUUUGAUCAAUCGCCAUACAAGAUGCUUGAUCUUCUGCUGCAUCAGAAGCUGCCACAUCUUCUUCCAUGCCCCCGCUUCCUGUAAUAAUUGAGUUGAUUCGUUCCGUUCCUUGAGUGCUCGAUAGGCUGGCCUGACAGAAUAUUGUCCUCGUUUCUCAUAUUUCCAAAUCAUCUUGUCGUCUUCAUCUCCCCUCGGCGGCGGCAUCUGCAUUAUCACCUGGCAGUCACGAUCACAAAACAGUAAAGUGAAUCAUCUCCUCAUUCCACUCCUGAAGGUAAAAGUGGAUUAUAGAAAUUAAAUUUGUGUGCACUAUUAUAUUGAUUUAAUUAUUUUUACAAAGUUGAUAGUAGUAUCGAAAAUUGUAGCCAGAGUAAUCUAAAAGUGGCUUAAGCAUAUAGAAUAAUAUUAAUUAAAUAUUGGUGUGGUGUGGAUAUGCAGGCAUGGGAGUCAAAGUUUAAGGAUUUGGAGCUACUCUAUAUAGUUUAGUGUUACUACUUACUUAUUAUUAUUAUUAUUAUUGUAGGAGUCAACAAAUUAAACCGUUUGUUGCUUUGUUUUUAUUUAAUUCUUCGUUUCCUUUGUGUUACUACCGACACACUCAAAGGGUAGAGAGAGAGAGAGAGAGAAUCAUGCAUAUGAUCCAUCAUUGUAGCUGUGCUUAGCACUAAUUUUUGUCAGAAUUGAAAUUAGUUAGUUUAAUAAAGUGUCAGGAUAUCAAUUUAGUUUAAAUUAAAAGUGAUUAAUAAAAAGCCAAGCUGUCUGUUAACUCUUUUUGGGCGGUAUUUCCACAUGGAAACCUUAAAUGUCUGAAUGGGCAACCCCCACAUGCCCAGAUGAUAACCAAGAUUCUGAGCUUACAGAUUUCUAAUUAAAUUCUCUCUCUUUUUAAUGCCCAGAUGAUAGCCAAAUACUUUAGAAUAUGCUCUGCAAUCCAAUGUUUAACACCCUUUUGACUCACUAAACCAUGUUUAGCUGCAAAACUAAAAGAAUUUGGUCAAUAGGAAAGCUUAGUGGCCCCUAGCAUUCAAUCAAUGUAGUAGUUGCCUUCAUCUCAAAGCUAGAGGUACGUACGACUUCUGGGAUCUUAUUUUCCCACAAGGAUAUGCAUGUCUAGGGCCAGCCAGGGGCAGCAAACGUCAGAGAAAUGGGGUAACUAUGUUUUCCAUUUGAAACUACUGUUUCCAAGUCUGUAGUACAAAACAAAUAAUAGUCCAAAUUGGCUCUCAUAAAAAAUUUGUGGUGUCUGUUGUGCUCUGCUAGCCUACUGUUUUAACUCAGCUGCCAUGGACAAGCAUACAAUUGGAAGAAAGGCAUAUGGCAUGUUUGAGCAAGGGUUCAAAUGAUUGCUCAAGUUUUGAUUCGUUAAUGAAUAUGUAACAAGACAGACCCUUUUUCUCACUGCCAGAAAUGGGGUUAGUCAUCACUUUGUAUUUUUGUUCCUUAGCUGUGAACCCUUUUUAUGAUCACCUGCCAGCAAAAACUUUGUUCUUGCUUGCUAUGGCUAUGGCCCCCUUUUAUUCACAUUCUGACACACAGACAAUCAUGGAAGGUGAAAAACAAUAACAAAGGAAACCAAACCGACAGAAAGAAAGAAAGAAAGAAACACAUGUAGUGUAUCUCUUUACUUUACUGCUGAAAGUAACAACAAAUAUUGUUAUCUGUAUACUGAUUUGGUGGACUUUUGCAUGGAUGGCGAACAAGAAGAGAAAGUGAAGAGAGGGUGGUGGUACUGGUUUGUUUGUUCAUCCUCCUCUUUUCCUUUUCACAAUUUAGCAGCCCAUGUGCCCACCAUGUGGCCUGUUGGCAAUUACGACUUGCCAUGGUUCAUGAUUAUGACAUUAUAUAUAUAGUUUCAUGAUCAUGACAUUCUAUAGAUCACCCUACUGAUAACCAUAGUUUUAGAGUUACAAAAUUAGCAGAAACUUUGACUUGUUAGUAGACUAACUUAGUCAUCAUUCAAAUUCCUCUCCCUCAGCAGCACAAAAAAGAACAGAUAUGAACAUAUAAACCUAACUAGAAGCCUACUUCAUUUAUGUUCUAUCUCAAAUUUGACUCAGUGCUCAGCAGAAUCUCACUUUUUUUCUGCUAUUGCAUAUUUGAGUGAUCUCGGUGGGGCUAUAGAAAGUCAUCAGGACAACCUGGUAGUUAGCUCUGGCCUUUACCAAAGGAUGGAUGGAUGGAUGGCCAUGGAGUCAAAUUUCCACCACUUGGAAUUGGAAUCACAAGAAUGCGGAAUAAGUGGGCCACGUGUCAUUUAAACAGAGGAUUGAAUCACAAGAAUGCAAGAGAGAUGCAAACACAGUAACAGUGUACAAGCCAAUAGACUUGAUAUCAUUUAUAAAAUGGACUCAUUUAGGAGAUACUAUUUAUCCUUCAAUAAUCUAACAAUGGAGGAAGGGUUCUUCUGGAACAUUAAUUAGAUGGACCCUUCAAUGCAGACAAUGAGGGGUUUGGCUACCAUUCUCAUAGGACACAACUUAUAUGCAACUGGACAAGGCAAAAUUCCAGGUUCUCAGUUCGUACUACAGCAGAAUGUAGGCUUUUUCUUUUAUGGUGGUGCAUAACUUCAAGGAACACUCCCACUUGCUUCAUCGGUACACUUCUUUGUGUCUGCGAGAUCUUUUAGUACCUAUUCGUACCAAGAGCAAGCAAAGCUUGGUUAAAACUUAAAACACAUGGGGUACAGUUUGAAGCUUUUGUACGAAGGCGAUAGAUUUUACCUACCUGGUAGAGUUUCCAAGAAGCGAAAGCAUCUGUAGCUGCGUAUUGUAUUUGCUUCUUUGUUAAGAAUUUAACUUCCCAGUUUCCAAGUCUGAUCUUUUUGGGCUUAGGAAGCUACAAAAAAAUGCCAUUCCAUUGCUGGUUAGAAUACCUUAAUGUUGUAUGUUGCUGAAGAAUGCAUAACGAAUUCUCAAUUGCAUCUUGCAGUAAUUUGUUAAAACUUACCUGUGACUAAAACGGGAGGAAGUACGAAUUCCCAGGUAAAGAAUAUGUAGGAAAAGGAAAAGUAACACAAGACAAAAUCCAUUGUUUCGUAAUGGAAUCAUCAUUGAAUAUGAACAAGUUCUGCUACAGAAUGUCAUAAUCUACACCACUCUUUCUCUCAAGGAGUUUUUGAAGUUCCCAUGACACUGUUGAAGAAUGGUGAGUUUGGAUGGAAGGAUUUGAAUUUGGAAUUUUAUAUACUAAUUUUUUAUGUCCAAUACAAAUAAGAAUAUGGAUUCGGUUUCGAUCAAAUAGACAAAUACUACAGGGGUAAAAAUUAAAAAAUGGCUAAAAAUGGAAAUAUGCUCAGAGUUUAUUUCUUUGUUGGAUGGGAAAUUUUGGUGCAGAAGUUUCGCAGGCAAAGCUUUGAUGCCGGAAUUCUACCGACAGAGCUCUGCCGUGGAAUUCUACUUGUAGAGUUCCACGACAAGAAUUGGAGCAGUCAGUGAGUUCAGCUGCCGGAAUUCUACUGGCGGAGUUCCACCGCCAAAGUUCUAAUCCUAGAAUUCUGACGCUGAAAUUCUACAUGUAGAGUUCCGCCAACAUAUCUCUGCAGCCAAAGUCCCGCUGGUAGAUAUCCGUGGCAAAAAUGGAAUCACACCGCCGAUAUUCUGACGCUAGAGUUCUACCAUGGGAGUUUCGCCACUGUAUUCCCACCGCUGGAGUUCCAUGACUGGAAUUCUGUCCUCCGGAUAAUACUGCCAAUGUUCUAUCAUCUAAGGUCCGCCUGCGUAAAUGUCGGUAGAUUUGUACGGCAAACUGGCAAAGUUCCGUCGUGGGAGAUCCAUAGACAAACUUUCUGUCAUUGGAGUUCUGUCCGUAGAUUUAUGCCAGCAAAGUUCAGCCACAGAAGUUCUUACUCUGCUAGAGUUCCACUGUUCCUAGAGUUCUGCCACGCUCUGGUUCCACCACCGCUGAAGUUCAAGUAGCGUUAGAGUUCAUCAGUCCCCGAAAAACUCUACUGUUGGAGUUCCGCUAUCGACUGCUGGAGUUCCGGUUGUUUAGUUCUGCUGCCACUAGAUUUACUGAUGAGAGUUCCACUGUCAUUAUAACUGUGCUCUCCCCCGUCCUCCAGAGCGCCUCUAUUGUUGUAGCUCUGCCACUGGCCAUCGGUGUUUCAUUAUAGUUGUGCUCUCGAAGUUUCUCCUCCGAAAAACUAAGUUAGCUAGAGUUUCUCCAUUGGAAGUUACCGGAGUUUUUCUGUUAAAAAUUGUCACUGGACCUACGUCGUUGCUGCCAGAGUUGUAGAUUGUGCUAUUUUACAAAAUUAUGUAUUGUUUGAUGAAGGUGUCUUGUGUGUAUAUAUUUGAAAUACAGACAAUAAAUUUUGGAUUCCAACACUAAAAUUUCAAUUUGAAUGAAUUUUUAUUGGAUGCAUUUGGAAUACCAAAUUCUGAUUCAUGUAUCCAAAAAUAGGUCAACAUUCCUGCCAGUGCAGUUCAUAUUGGGUAUGGAUGCGAACACGUAUUUAAACCAGAAGCUUUUUAUCCAUAAGAGUAUGAAACCAAGAAGGAUGUUUAAACAUAAUGAAAGAUUUGCAUAGAUACGCUCAACCAGAAGUUCUCCACGGAUCUAUCAACCCUUCUUAAACUCUACAUUUGUCAAUCACAAGGACAAUAGAAAGCUCUGUAAAGUGAAUUCCAAGAUAUAUAAACACAUAAAUCAGAGAUGGCACUCCAAGAUGGAGCACAGGAAUGCAUAGAAAUUCUUGUGCCAAUAGACAGGAAAAUAAGAUGCAUACCUCUUUCGAGACAAGCGUCUCGGCUAAAGCUGCAAGACCCCAUUUUUUUGGUUCUCCACCAAGCUUUUGAUUAGCUAGGCAGGAAAGGUCCUCCACAGCUUGAACAGAGACAUUAUAAUCUCUAAAAACCUUGGUAGAAUCAUUGCCAAUCCCAACACCAACCUGUGUGCAUCAUCCCAUAAAUAACAUGAAUCACAUUCCGCACAUUGCAAACAUAUACAACAAAAAAGAUGCAGAAUGCAGUAAUUGACAAUCUGUGGUACUUUUAAGAGUGUGUCAUCCUGAAGAAGCAGCCGUAGACUGGGAGUGAUUCCAGAAUGAAUAAUAUGCAUCACGUAGCAUUGGCCAACAUCUGCAAAAAGCUGCAUCACAGCAGCCUUACUGGGCAAAGCCCCUGUAGUAUAGAGGGUAGGUAAGGUUAAAGAUGCUAAUCAAUAAUCAUGGUGUCUCAACAGGACAUUGGACAUUAAUUGAGUUGAGUGAUCUGUGAAACCAACAUGCCUCUUUUGAAUGUUGGCUUCCACUCUAUAUCAAAACCAACAGCAACUUGGCCACUUGCUCCCCUUUUAGCUUCAAGGGUCCUAAGAAGCUCCCUCGCAUCCUUUUCCACUUCCAUUGAGGUCCUACUAUACGAGAUUCGGCCUCCGAAAUUGAUUGCAGGGUACCUCAUUUUUGUAUCAGCUGCAUGAUCAAGGAACCUCACAAACUCAUUUUUCUUCAAUAGAGAUAAGAAUUUAGCGAGAGCCCUAGAGAAAGGCCAUAAAUUCAAAAAUUCAUGCAAAGCUUCCCACUUUAUUUCAAUGAUACUAGAGAAAACGGAUCGUUCAACACAGAGCAUACAAUACAAGAGAGAAGGAGUUGCCUUUGCAAGGAGAAAGAGGAAACGGUGAACAGAGAUCAAGGACGGAGCUUGGCAAUCGGCGGCAGGGUCUUUCUUGGGUUCGUUCAUCUUGGCCGGUUGAAUCUUGUUCCUUAACUGAAGAGCCUGAGGUGGAGGAGGGAUUCAAUGAUAAGAAUGUAGCUUCUAUUACGUCAAUGGCUUCAAGAUCCUGCUCCGUCAAGGGCUCGUCUAAAUCUGGAACAGAGGGAAAAGGCGAGGAAGAACAGGAAAUUGCGGCGCUUCUCGAAGCAGAAUACAUUCUUCUACUACAACAACAACAAGUAUGUAUCUUCCGGAGUUCUGAUGACCUACGAGCCGCCGGUAAGGAUUGAAAAAUGGCGCUGAUAUUUGCUCUCAUUUCCACCACCGUCAGUUCAGGUACAUUCAUUUUUAUAACAAUUUUUUAGUGCGCAGGAUAAUAUCAGAACGACAUGCCGUAUUCUCAUUUUUCUAUGAAUUAUUAAUAAUUUCAUUUCACCAAAAACAAUCCGGGAAAUAUGCCCAUUUCAACGCGUGUCAUGCUGAAUUCAAUAUAGACCAUCAGAUCAUCAGCUUUUCAGCCAUUUCUCAUCUAAACGCUCAUAUUAUUUAGGGGCAGUUUUAGUAUUUAGGAAAAAAAAAAUUUUGCAAAUAAAACAAGAAAAUGGUCAAAAUUUUGAGCAGGGUGUCAAAUCUAACCCAAAUUAUAUAUAUUACAUUUUUUUGGUAAUUAUUUUCGGUCGUCUGUCAAAUUAAAGCGCCUAUAACAUGACAGACAAAGUUGACGUGACACUAAUUUGAUCAAUCAAAUUGAUGCAACAUCGUAGAUUUGCAUUUAAAAUAUAAAUAUAAGAAAAAUAUAAAUUAUUCCCUAAAACACAGACACUUCAAAAACAAAUUAAAACAAAUGGAAUUAAAUUAUUUCCCAUCAAUCUUUGUGUGGAUUCUCUGAUUAUAUCACACUCACAUUCUACUAUGGAUUCCUUCCCAUCAACCAUCAUUUUUACGGGUUUUAAUGUAACUUUCUCGGCGGAAAACAUUGAUAAUGCUCCGGCUGACAAUUCCGUAAGCCUUAUUGAUCGGGUUUUGUGGCCGCUACCAAAGUCGAAUCACAUGCUACUUCAUGGCAUGGCUUGUCAAUGACGGAUUCGUCCAGAAAACCUUUAGGUUAUUGAUGCCAGUCACUACCUCACGAAAUUUGUUUUCCCUACCAUAGAGGAGAUGACUGACCCACAUCUUCCGGAGCCAACCAUGGGCUUACAAAAGCACCAUCAUUAAUUUGGUUCCUUGGGAAUUACCAUCGCAAGACUUAUAUGAUCACCUACAAUUCAUGUUGCUGUAAUCCAUAUGAAGGACUUGUCGGGACCUUUUAACACUACCAAAUUCGUGUCCAAGUUGUUUUAACCACUGGGAAUCGUGAUCCAGACUAAUCAGUUUUCUAACUGGCCUGAUGGCAGUGGUCUUCAUUUUGUAAAAUCUAUUGUCAAACUUGAUCUUUUGUAGAGUCUUCAGGGUCACUCCUAUGCUACGGUGGCUGGUCGCCAGCCUUUCUGGGUCAAACUUCCUAGGUCAAACUUCAAUAUGAAGAUUUACCAACUGCGUGCUAUAUUUGUGGUCUCCUUGGUCAUGGUCAUGGUCACUGCCCUUAUGCAGCAAUUCUUCCCCAUAAUUCCGAGGAACGCGGUCCGUGGAUGCAAGCUAAACCUGAUGGCCAUUUUAUCGUUUAGGAUUACAUUCUUCUCAUAAGCGUAGAACUGUAAUAGGUUGUUAGGAAUCCAAUGAUUAGAUUCUCCUUGCGAUGUGAUUCGGAGCAAGAGCUCUCAGGACUGUACAGUAGCGUGUGAUCUACUAUACAUAUGUUGUGAUGUGUUUUAGAGUGGGGGGCUCUCAGACUGUACAUUAGCGUGUGAUCUACUGUACAUGUAGUUAUUAUAGUUCGAGCAUAAGCUCUUGGAGUUUAAACUGUGGCGUGUGAUCCACAGUUCAUGAUAGGAUAAGAUAGGCCUACCUAGACUAGCUCACGAUUUUAUGCAUCGGUCACCCACCUAUGGAUUGCGCAAUCCCAUAGAAUUUCAUGCAUCAGGCAAGACAUGUUGAGUACACCUAUAGAUGCUGCUCACACGGAUAUUCAUGGUGGUUUCGUGGUCUGAUCCACAGUGAGGACGUCCACACAGUUAGGGGUGGCUGAUGCUAGGUAGAUGCCUACAGGAUCACAAGGUCACAUUACUAGAUGUAGUGUACAGUCUUAGUGCAGUCUCAACUCAGUCUCAAUUCUACGCGAGAAUCAGAUAGUCACUCAGUGCUUAUCACUGACCCCAUUAUAUGUUUGUUUUCCCUAUUUGUAUUAGUGUAUUUCAGUCACAGGUACUUGAGUUGAUGGUGAGGAGAGAGCUAGUCGGAGUUUUUAUAUCAGAAUAUAUCUGUUUUGAUGUGUUUUAGAACUGGAGUUGUAUCUCCACUUGUUAUGUUUCAACAUGUAUUUAAAGAUUUCAGGUCUGUCAGUAUUAAAAGGUUUCACGCAUGUUCAAUAUUUAAUGCUUGUUUUAUGCAUUUGUUAGUAGUUAUUAGUCGAGUUUGGUUCAGACUGGAACCCGAGUAGAAUUCUUUGGUUGAACUUGAAGGUUGGCUCAUUUGCCAUGAUUUGAUAGGAAACUAAGUUAUAGUUAUUUAACUUGGUGUGAUUUCGGUGAAAUGAAAUUAAACUACAUAAAAAGGAAACCAUUCACCAAAAGGAAAAAUGUAUGCAAUACCCGCCUUUUCUCGUCUCUACUCUCUCUACUUGGCGAAGGCGACGGAAGGAAGAACCGCCUAAAACCUAAAACCCUUCUCUCUUUCGAAAAUCUGCUUUUUCGAUUUUCUAUUUAUUAGCCUGGAGUUGUAUUUCCUCGCUGAGCUAUUGUUAGCAUGUGUUCCCAUUACUAGGCGAUCAUCAUCUUCUUUUUUAUCCUCGUCGUAGUCGUAGUCGUCGUCGUUGAGGGACCGGGGAAGAUGAGUACAGUUGAUAAGAUGCUGAUAAAAGGAAUCCGGAGUUUCCACCCGGAGAACAAGCACGUCAUCACCUUCUUCAAACCACUUACCCUAAUCGUCGGCUCCAACGGUGCCGGGAAAACUGUAUUCGUGCUUCCUCUCUCUCCUCAACUAUAUCCUUCAGACUUGAAUGAGGGGUUUUUAUUUUUCUUAGUGUUCUCUGUUUGUGUGUGUAUUCUGCAGACCAUUAUAGAAUGCUUGAAGGUUGCAUGCACUGGUGAGCUGCCCCCAAAUGCAAGGAAUGGACACAGUUUCGUUCAUGAUCCUAAGGUAAUUUCUAUCUUCUUUUUCUCACUUGUUGUCUCCACUUCACUGCUUUUUUGGGUCUGUUGGAGUGCCUGAAUGCCUUCUGGCUUUAGGUUGCCGGUGAAACUGAGACAAAGGGACAAAUUAAGCUCCGAUUCAAGACUGCUGCUGGUAAGGAUGUUGUAUGCAUAAGGUCCUUUCAGCUGACACAGAAGGCCUCCAAGCUGGAGUAUAAGGCAAUCGAGAGUGUGCUUCAGACGAUCAAUCCGCACACUGGGGAGGUUAGAGUUUUCCUGUCAUAACCUUCUUGUAUUGCUUCGCACAUGAUUUAGAAUUUCUGAUGUUAACCCGUGGUGCUGCAUACGAAUGCUGUCAUUGGAAUGUGCAGUCUCGGAUUAAACGCUAUGUUACGGCUUUGGUUAUUUUCUAGUAUCUAAGUUUGGCUUGUAGUACUUGGAGGACGUUUUUAUGAACCUUCUGUUGUCCGUCAAUAUGGGAAGUCUUGAAAGGCUCCUUUCUCCCUUUCUGUUCUGCUCGCUGGUGGCAGCUAUUGAAUGGUCUUGCAUAUCUCUUGCUUAUCUACCGAAUAAAUGUGGUGUAUUAUUUUUUUUAUUUUUUUGGCGAAGGCUAGAGGAUUAUUUGGUGGGCUAUUUAGGAAUGCAGGAACAGGAAGCCUUAAUGUAGUGGAUUUGACUCGUAGAAUCCAGUUUGAGGUUCGGUGCAAGCAGGGCAUUCUAGAUUUUCACGUAUUUUGUACUGAUUGAGGAUGUUUCUUUAGAGUGAGAAGUGUUUUUGGUUUCCUCGGUUCUAUUGUAUAUACAGUCUUUGAUUUGCAAAGUUCCAAUACGCUUCAUGAAUAAGAUAAGCUAUUCAUCAGAAGAAAAUGUGGUGUAUUUGUACAGACAAGUUGGUGAUUUUUUUUGAUUUUGUAUUUGAUUUAAGUUGGCUUAUAUCAUGGUUGGCAACACUGGCCUAGUUGUUCUGGCUACUAUUGGACCUGUUCUCAUUUGUGUGAGUUAUGUGUGUUGGUUGAAGACCAUUUCGCUUAACAUGCCAAUUUUUUUUAUUAUGUUCCCUUUUCCAAUGAGGCUGGUGCAUUUAUGUGGUCUUCUUGUACUUUCUACUCCCAAAAUGUUUUACGUGAUGUAGGUGUUCUUGCUGUACUUUUUUGGGGAUAAAUUUGGUUGUGCCUUUCCAACCAAAUGACCCGAAAUUUGCAUAAGAGAUGAAUCGUAGUAGAUGGGACAUGUCAUUGUCUUUCACUCUGUCUCUCCAUGUCCGAAGUUGGUCUUACUGUACUUGCUAGCCGAUAUAAAUGGAGACUUAGACUCUGUUUGUUUCUUUUCAACUGCAGAAAGUCUGUCUUAGCUAUCGAUGUGCUGACAUGGAUAGGGAAAUCCCUGCUUUGAUGGGUGUUUCAAAGGCUGUUCUUGAAAAUGUCAUAUUCGUCCACCAAGAUGAAGCUAAUUGGCCAUUACAAGACCCUUCCUCAUUGAAAAAGAAGUUUGAUGAUAUAUUCUCUGCGACAAGGUACUCUUUUGGAUACUCCUGCUGAAGUGAUUGCAUCUGUUAUUCUGUUCUCAUAUUGCCUUCAUGCAGAAGUAUUGUGCUUGAAAAUGUGAAAUUUGCAACAUAUUUGAUGUUGUUUGUCCUUUAAUCAUGUGUACCCAGAACGCUUUUUUUGUUAGUCCUUUUUCCAGUUUGAGAUGUCAUGCAUUGGAUAAUAUGUUGGGGAUGCUAGAUGCCAUACAUAGUAGAUUUGAAUGCUUCAAAUACACAUAAUAACAGAACUUGGUUUUCCACCUACUCUGUGAGGCUUUAAAGGUGAGAAAAGUUAGCCGAAAGACUGAUACUGGUGCGAAGUUACUUUAUUAAAAUUGUAAAGAGUAAACAACCAAUAAGGAUUGUGAAAAAAUAUAGGCUUUGAGAAAUCCUGGCUUCCGUCAAUUGUGUCCUAAAUUAUAACAUACAUUGACUUUAAGAUUGGAAAGCAUUUGUUAUAUGAAGAAAAUUGAAGGGGUCAUUAAUACCUCUGAGCAGCAAAUUAAUCUUAAUCCAACUUCAAAAAUGUUGAUCUUUUGUAAUUAUAUUAUUCCUUAUUUUCUUAUUUUUUGGGUGCUUUCUAGACAUUUCUGCUUCCUUAUGUGCUGAUUACCCUUAAUCUUUUUGGAGAUAGAUAUACCAAGGCUUUGGAGGUCAUCAAGAAACUUCACAAGGACCAAGCUCAGGAAAUUAAAGCAUACAAGCUUAAAUUGGAGAAUCUCCAAACCCUGAAGGAUUCUGCAUAUAAGGUUAGAAAUUGUGUUUCUAAGUGAUUUAUAAAAAGACACAUAUAAACGUCUUUGUGCUUGAUCUUCCUCUCUGAAAUUAUUUAGUGAUUGAUAGCUCACCAAUAUUUAGCUAGGCAUUAUCAAAACAAUUGAUUUGUUUAUUUAUUUUCUUAAUAAUAUUUUAUCAACAUGAGAAGAGUUUAGAGAAUUAAUUGGUUGCCUAGUAGGUCUCUUCAUACUGCUCAAGGUUGUUCAGACUAGUUAGUAAUUGACAAGGUUUAGUGCCAAUGGAAUGCUUUACUGAAUGGCCGAGAAAAUUGCUGUUAUUUUCGUAAUACAUAUUUAACAAUAUGAAAAGCGUUAAGCAAUGUAAUUGGUGGACCAGGUGGGUCUUUCCAUACUGCUCUUGGUUUUCAUAUAAUCAUAUUAUUCGUUGUGAGACAAAGAAGUUACUAUUCUCAACAUAUCGGCAUAGCUCACCGAUACUUUGAGCUUUUAUUGUGUAUAAUUGUAUUUUCCUUCCAUUCGAAGGCAAGCCCAAAGUUUCUAUCAUAUUUUAUUUCAUUUGUUCUACAUUUAUUGCAUCUUUAGAGUGUGUUACUUCUAUAGCUUUGAACAACGCCAUAUUUUUCUUAGACCUUAAUGCUCAUAUCUGCAACAUUGGCAUAUCGAGUAACUAUAAAGCCUAAUACAAUUCGAUUACUAUUCACUCAGGCUUCUAGUAUACUAUUAUGAAGUCUAAACUGUGACUUAUUUGACAAUCGCGAAGCUAAAAUUUACUUUGAAGAAUUUUAUAUUAUUGAAAUUUCUACUUCUAAAUCAAUUCUUGCUUUGGUGAUCCAUUUCAAGAUGUAUCAUGUAUGACAUAAUUAUGUCCCUAAAUGGCUCUCUGGUUGACACUAUAGUUUAGUACUAGUGUUUGUUCUAGGUUGCCCAAAUAUUUAGAAGAUGUAUGAGGCGGCCCUGGAUGAACAAGAUUAGGCUGUCUGAUUUUAUACACUUGGGACUGACUCUCCUUUUUAUGAUGUUGGGUCUUUUUAUCUUCUUUCUGCUUUCCUUCUUGUUUGUCUCCUUAGCUUCGUGAAAGCAUUUCGCAAGAUCAAGAAAAGACGGAAUCAUUAAAAAUAAAAAUGCAAGACCUAGAAAGUAACAUUCAAAAUGUAGAAGGGAGGAUCCAAGACACUAAAUCAAUACUUGAAGAGGCGAGGAACCUACAGAAAGAAAUAUCCACCAAGGAUGCAGAAAGGGGGCUUCGGGUUGAUGAGAUGGAGCGGCUACUUGCUACUCUUGAUUCAGAAAUAACAGGUUUCACGCAUCAUUACCCAACACAUUGUGUCCCUACAAUCCAUAUUUCUAUUAAUUAAUUGCAAUUCAGACAUACAUAAAUGCUAUAACAUCCCUGGACCCUGUUUGGCUAAAAAAAUUGAAUCCUGAAGUCUCAAGCCAUUGUAACGUUAAUGCAAAUUUCUCACAUCUAUUUUUUUGGUGCUGUUAUCAGAUGAUGAUGAGGAACUGAUUUCCUGGAAGCAAACUUUUGAUACACGUCUGGCUACAUUGAACACGAAAAUCAGCAGAUUGGAGAGGGAAAUGAAUGAUGCAGAUAAGAAAGCUUCCAAUCUUAAGAAGACAAUCAAUGACUCAAUCCUAGCAAUUGGACGGCUUCAAGCUGCUACGGAUGUAAUGUUACGAUGAUAAAUUUCAUGGUUUCUUCAAGUGUGCCAAUUGAAGAUGAAUCUCUGACCUCCCACUUAUGAACUUAGGCUCAUACUUCCUUGAAGAAUGAAAGAGAUUCUACCAUCCAUGGAGUUUGUGCAAGGUAUAAUGUCGGGUCUCUGCAUGACACCCCAUUAACGGAUGAGAUGGCUUUGAAUCUUACUGAAUGCCUGGAAUCAAGGUCAAUGAAUCUUAAGAAAGAUUUACAAGAGAAAAAGGUGAAAGAUUCUCUCUCCUUUCUGUGUGCUUUGCUAUGCUGCAAGACAACGGUUCUUGUUUAUGGGGCAUCUUGUAUUUCAAAUGUCUGUCUCGUUCUUAUUCCUUAAGGAGCUAUUAAAAUUUGUUACUUGCUGAUUUUGACUUUGGCUGUUUCCAGAAAUUAAAUGAUAUCCAAGUUAAGGCAGCAGAGAAAAACUGCAGGGAUGCCAGUGACGCAUGGAGAGUUGCUGAGGCUCAACUACAGGCUAAACAAGAAUUAAAGGUCAACUAUUCAAGUCUUUCUGGUGCUUCUUAAUUGUUAGAUGUGCUGGUUAUCUUUUUCUGUCUGGCAUUUUUUUUUAUGUAUAUUGAAAUCUCUACAGAAUAAUUUAUCUGAUCGCAUUAAGGAAAAGGAAAAUGAGCUUGCAGCGUUGGAAGAACAACUAUCCCAUGCCAAUCUUCCCCGUAUUGAUGAGAAGGAAAAGAACAUGGUAAGGAUCUGUGGAAUUUUAUCGCAGCAAGAAUUGUCUGUUGAGUGCGAUAAAUAAAUCCAGGCUUUUCAAACUAAUUGCAGGCUAUUGAGGUUGGAAGAAAAACUAAUCAGCUUUCUGAAAGAGACUUUGAGUCAAAUAUACGACAGAAGCAAAGUGAGUUGUAUGGUAUUGAACAAAAAAUUAAGGCACUUAAUCGGGACAAAGAUCUCCUUGCUGUUUAUGCCGAGGAUAGAAUAGUGCUGUCUCUCAAGAGAUCAGAAUUAGAUAAUCACAAAAAGAAGCAUAGAAAAAUGUAAGCUUUUCUGCUUUUAGUUCAUUGCCGGCCUUCAAUUCUCUAUCACCUUUAUCCAUCAAAUAUAUACACCUGUUUCUGUCAUUUCAUCAGAAUUGUUAUCCUUUCCUAAUGUUUCCAGAAUUGAUGAAUACAAAGAUAAGAUCAGAGGGGUGCUAAAAGGGAGGCUUCCUUCUGAUAAGGAUUUGAAGAAAGAAGUUACUCAAGCCCUUAGGUUAAUCUGAUCUUACUUGCAAUAUCUCUACUUCAGAUUUCAUGUUCAUGUGUAUUUAUAUGCUGCUCCUCUUACAUGUGAAUUGAUGGUUGUAGGUCUAGCUAAAUUUAAGAGUCUAACCUCUCAUUGGUGCCUCUGUUGGUUUAUAUUGUCGGGCAUUGGAAUUGCAGAGCUAGACGUUCUUUUCUCACUUUUCAGCUAUACGCAAUUCUAGUUUAGUUACUUUCUGCUUUGAUUUAGUUUCUCAAGCGUUGCUACUCCAGUUGUUUUGUUUUGUAUUUCCUUCAAGGAAAGUGGAUACCUUGGGUGGCUGGCAUCUGCAAUUUGGAUAUGCAUAAAAUAAAACCUCGGGAUAUGAUUAUAUUGUGUUACUAUGUACUGUAUGCUGUUCUGAGAAAUUUGUUUGGCUGUACAUUAUGUUUAUUAUUGCCGCAGGAUUGAGUUCACUAGAAGUAUUAGUUGUUUUCUGAAAUUGCUGUUCAAAUGAAUCUAAGUAAGUUUGUGCAGCGAUAACAUCAGGUAAAUCUGGUAAGAAAAGAUGGCUGCAUGCAGGUUGAAUACUCACAAUCAUAUGUUAUUAAAUCAGACCCCCAAGUAUCCUUACUUUCAGAAGAUGUUUUUAAAUUUAAUGUCAGAAAAUUCUUCCUGCCAUAUGGUUGGAUGGAAUGUGGUUUAUAUUUGUGCGUUGUCUAGCUGUUGCGGUUAAGAUUUGUUUCUUUGGUUUUAGUGAUCGCAUCUUAUUCUAAAGUGGACAGUAGAAGGGGGUUUCAGUCUAUAGCUUCUGAAUUUUAGUUAUCUUGGAAGUACUCUUAUUCCUUUCAACCUUUGUUCAAUGCAAGCAUGCUUUCCUAACCAAAAGUAAAUUGAUUUUGUUCUCCGAGUAGGGCUCUGGGAAAUGAGUUCGAUGACUUGAAUACAAAAUCCCGUGAUGCAGAGAAGGAGGUGAAUGUGUUGCACCUGAAAAUACAAGAGACCAAUAAUAAUAUCUCCAGAUUCCACAAAGAUAUGGAUGGUGAGUCUCAUUUCACUUGAGACCAUAAUUGAAUUUCCAUACUGUCGUUUCUUCUGGAAUAGUGGUUCAAGUUUUAGUUCUAAUUCACAGACACAUCAUAUCCACUAGUCAGUUGGCAUGGACUUCAUGCUCAGUAUUUAUUGCAACAUGCUAAACAAUUAAUUGGAAGUCAGCAUGAUAGGGAUACAUGAGGGCUAGACUACUACGUAUGUACCUUGCUUCUAUCAAUGAAAAAUAAAGGUUAUGAGAACUAUUUGAAUGAACUAUUUUCACUCGAGCUGAAGUGCUAACAGCUGUAUUUAUUAUCCACAUCUCUGCAAUAGGGACGUAUUCAAACUACGAAACUGACUCAUACAUAUCUCUUGAGUCCUAUGUACAACAAUACUGUUGACUAGAUAAUUUAUCUAAACAAUAUAAAUAUAUCUUAAACUCUUUUUUCUAUAAUAAUCAUCUCUAAUUAUCCGUACAAACCAACACUUGUGCUCAAACUUCAAAUAUAUUUUUCAUGAUCAGCUUGUCCACGAGAUAGUUGAACGGUUUCUUUGUAGAGCUCUUUGGUAAGAAUAUCUGCAAUUUGAUACUUAGUAGAGAUAUAUGGCAUACACAUGGCUCUGGAGGUAAGGUAUCAAUAACUUGGCGCCCCAGCUCCAACGUGGAGCUUCUCCUUAAUGAAAUGUUUAUCAACUUCAAUAUAUUUAGUCCUAUCGUGCAAAUCAGGAUAAUCAGCAAGAGCUAUGGCAGCUUUGUUAUAACUGCUAAUGUAAUGCUUAUUGCAGCCUGCCUUUCUUAAUUGUUUCUGUAGUGGGGAUCUAUUUAAUAUUUGUUUAUCUCCCUAGCUUCUCACUCCUGUAAUUACUGAAUGUAGCUAAGAAGAGAUUUAUUGAAUCCAAACUUCAGUCAUUGGAUCAGCAAUCUUUCACCAUCGAGUCUUACUUUAAAGUGCUAGAAUCAGCAAAGGAGAAGAGAGAUGUCCAGAAAAGGUUUUCCCUUGAGUUAUCAAUGUGCUUGCCACUGCAGUGCAUUUGAGAAAUAUUUAUGCUGCCACAGAAGGCCUUAUAUGGUAUCUAUUCCCCCCCUGCAGCAAGUAUAACAUCGCUGAUGGCAUGCGGCAGAUGUUUGAUCCGUUUGAACGAGUUGCCAGAGCUCAUCAUGUCUGCCCUUGCUGUGAGCGUCCUUUUUCCUCUGAGGAGGAAGAUGAAUUUGUCAAAAAGGUCUGUUUAUAACUUGAUUAUAUGAUACUUCUGGUGGAUGGAAUAAAAUGGUUUUGCCUGUUUUAAUUUUUCCUGGUUAUAUUUAAAAUUCAGCAAAGAGUUAAAGCUGCAAGUUCUGCCGAGCACAUAAAAAAGUUGGCCAUAGAGACUUCAAAUUCAGAUUCUCUCUUUCAACAGCUGGACAAGCUCCGUAUAGCAUAUGAAGAGUAUGUCAAACUAGGCAAAGAUGCUAUACCGCUUGCAGAAAAAUCUCUGCAUGAUCUUCAGCACGAGCUUGAUCAGAAGUCACAGGCCCUUGAUGAUGUAAGUAUUGUCAUUUGGACUUUGUUAAUGUUACAUAACUUGGCGUUUUAGGCAAUCUUGUUAUGCUAUUCAUCGAUUUAUGCUUAUCACUAACCCAUAAUAGUCGCCUACUGUUUCUGCUGUCACUCCGUCGACUAAGUCAAGAUUUUAUCCCUGCCCCUUUAGCUAUAUAAGAAGGAAAAAAGAACUUACAGUCAUGUGUUCUUUGAGAUGGAGAAAUACAUGAUGUUGAAACUACAGAGUGGAAAGAUUUUAUCAGCCUUGUCCAGAGUAGCAUGAUUAUUUCUUUAAUAACUCUUGACUAUGUUUACAUAGUUCGCUUGCAAAUGGAACUAGAUGUGGGUUGGUUGUAGAGUCGGUAGGAUGAAAUUGCUAGGUCAUGGAUCAGUGAUAGGUGGAGGUCUAUGCGACAAUUUGGCAAUGCCUUAUUUUUCUUGGGUAAGAAAACUUGAUGCGAGACAAGUUAUUGCAAUUCUGAAAGCAACGGGUUGUAUUGGUAAAAAAAAUACGUUUGUGAACAUUUCACACUAGUCCACUAGGUUGUGGACGAAAAAGGCAAAGUACCUGUACUUUCCGUUGUCAUACAUACCUAAAAAUUUACGUUUAGCUAGGCAUAUUAUGUCUAGUCUCUUAAAGGAUCAAAGUGUUAGGUUUUAGAGAAUUUAGAUUAAGGCCGUGGAAGCAAUGUUGCCUAGUAUAAGACAACCACUUACUGCUCCUUAAGUAAAAAUAACGGAAGGCGACUUUAGCCUCCAAUGAAUUCUAGUAGUCAAGCAUUAUUGUACUACGACUUGGCUAUCUGUAGCUUGAUGUUAAUAUUUUCGAAUGGCAAAAUUAUUAGUGAUUUUGACAGAUUGGUAUAAUUUUCUCUGAUAUAAUGUCUCUUGAUAUUCUUCCGUUUUUUGCUCCGUCUCCUAUUUACCUGGCUCCCACAUGACUUAGUAAGAUGAGCAUGUUGGCUGUGCUUUAACCGUUGAUGUCAUAUUUGAGAAUGUUUUGUUGUCUCUCAUGUUGACUUCAGUCGUUACCGCUCUAUCUGUUUUUGUUGUAGGUUUUGGGGAUCUUGGCCCAGAUUAAGGCUGACAAGGACUUGGUUGAUGUAUUAGUGCAACCUAUGGACACUGCAGAUAGGCUUUAUCAAGAAAUUCAGACUUUGCAAGAGCAAGUACGUAUUUUGGAGGAACAGCUUGAUGGUCAAGGGCAAGGUGCCAGAUCUAUGGAAGUGAUGCAGUCAGAACUUAAUUGUUUACAGAGUACAAGGUACUUAGUUUCACGCCCACUUCUCUCAUCCCAUGGUUCUUGGACUAUCAAUUUAUCUUACAGUACCACAUUGACACUGUGAAAGGGCUUACUCGGGCAUCAAAAGGUGUAUUUGACGCUGUAGCUGCGUGACGCAUUUUAAGACUAGACAAAUACUUUUCAAGGGAAUGUUACGACUUAUUUCAUUUGGAAGGGAAUGUCAUGACUUAUUUCACUUUGAACGGAUCAGUGGAUUGUUUCCCCUCAAACUACUUCAUCCCUAUUUGGCUACCAUCAGUGGUAAACUAAGAACAAAAAAAUUGGUAAAUUGGUUUGCUAUUCUGGUUGGAUGCAAAGGCUAGUAUUCCUUAUGGCGGUUCUAGAUUUUAGAGGGGGCGCUCUCAGGAAAUAAAUCAUUAUGUAACUUUAUGGGUAAAAAAGUGGAGGCAUCAUUGAACUUAAUUUUGAUGUUGUUCCAUAUAUUUGAAAUAAGGGUCAAAUUUUUUGUAGUUGGAUUCUUUCUGUCCAGGACCCCUUUAUCGGAAAGUUUGCUCUUGUGGUACCAAUCACUUGGUUACGUACUCACCAGGCCCUGAACUAUAACUCGGGCAGAGUAGUGUCAGGAUGUUCCUUAUGAACCAAGUCAUUUAUGUUUAUGAUGUGUAGGAUUUUAUUAUUCUGCUCUAGCUUGUCAAUCGAUUGGUCGCUUCUUUCUCUUGGUCACCAGGGAUUCCCUGCAGAGUGAACUGGAAAAUUUAAGGGAUGAGCAGAGAUAUAUGGAAAAUGAUUUGCAGCACAUUCAACUACGUUGGCAUGCCAUGAGGGAGGAAAAGGUUGCUGCAUCGAACAUAUUAAGUAAUGUUAAAAGGCUAGAGAAAGAAUUGGAAAAUCUGGCCGUGGAAAAGAAUGAAGCUGAGCUUGCUGUGAAGGUAUGUUUCAGACUGGAUUUUGUCUGCUUUUUCGGAUUAACUAUUUCCAGUAUAAAUAACCUAGUUGAUUAUUUGAGAAUGGCUUGUAUUUCACUUGAAUUUCAGAUUUGAGCUAAUAUUACAUUGUUGUCUUUUGAGCAUGUGGACUUGCGUUUGGAGUUCUGUUUGCGUGCACAAAAUGUUAUUUGGUUGGGUCUUUUCAAAACUGAAGAUUGAGAGAAUGAAUUACUUUUAUUCAUGUCUCGUAGGUUUAUUAUAUACAGCAUUCCUCCUACUGACUAGGUAGGAAAAUAUCUACUCUAACUAUUUAAUAGGAUCUGCUAGCUAAAUUAGGAUAGGACUAGAACUAACACGGUAACUAUCUAACUAGCAAAUAAACUAAUAAGAUCUGACUGUAUACAAAUAAGGAACGGGAUUUCCUCACUCCCCCUCAAGCUUGGUGUAGAUGUUGUACAAACCCAGCUUGGACUUGAAAUGAUCUGACUGUUCUCGUGGAAGUGCCUUUGUGAGUAUGUCUGCGGUCUGCUGUUUGGACUGGACAUAUCUCACAUCCACAACUCCCCUUUCCACCUUCUCAGUGAUAAAAUGCCUGUCUAUCUCGACAUGUUUAGUCCUGUCGUGAUGUACAGGGUUCUUAACAAUGCUUAAGGCUGACUGGCUAUCGCUGUAUAGUGUAGCUCUCCCGUGUCCUGGUAACUCUAGUUCCUUUAGAACUCGCUGUAUCCACAUAACUUCCUGAAUCCCGAGAGCAAGUGCUCGGUAUUCUGCUUCUGCACUGCUUCGUGCAACCACUGAUUGCUUCUUACUUCUCCACGUUACUAAAUUUCCCCAUACAUAAGAGCAGUAACCUGUGGUCGAUCUCCUCGUUGUAAUUUCACUGGCCCAGCUUGCAUCAGUGUAUAUUUCCACUGACCUGCUCUCAUUCUUCUUGAACAUCAGCCCCAAUCCUGGGGUUUUCUUUAGGUAUCUAAGAAUAUAGUUUACAGCAUCCAUGUGCUCACUCUUUGGUUCAUUCAUGAACUGGCUAACCACACUCACAGCAAAAGCUAUGUCGGGUCGCGUGUGUGCCAGGUAUAUCAGCUUUCCUACCAGCUGUUGGUAUCUUCCCUUGUCUGCUUUUUCCCCGUUUUCUUCUACACUGAACUUCAUGUUUGACUGCAUUGGGGUAUCUGCCGGUUUGCACCCUGUCAUACCGGUUUCCUCUAGCAAAUCUAGGAUAUACUUUCUCUGGGAUAUAGAAAGUCCUUUGCUCGAUCUGGCCACCUCCAUUCCGAGAAAAUAUUUCAUUUCUCCCAGAUCUUUCAGCUCAAACUCAGUUCCCAGUUUGAUCUUCAACCUUGAGAUCUCCUCAUUGUCAUUUCCCGUAAUUAUAAUGUCAUCAACGUAGACAAUCAAGAUGGCUAUCUUGUUCCCAGCUCCAUGCUUCACGAACAUUGUGUCAUCUGUUUGACACUGAUGGUAGCCAUUAGAUGUUAUAGUUGCUGAAAAUUUUCCAAACCAAGCUCUAGGAGACUGUUUUAGUCCGUACAGGGACUUCUCCAGCUUGCACACCUUUCUGCCGGUUUUAAGAUGAGGCACCCCUUCUGGAAUUUCCAUAUAAACUUCCUCUGUUAAUGCUCCAUUUAGGAAUGCAUUUUUGACGUCCAUUUGAUAUAGGGGCCAGUCUUCAUUUACUGCCACUGACAGUAGAAUCCGAACGGUGUUGAGUUUUGCUACCGGGGCAAACGUUUCCUGGUAGUCAAUCCCAUAUGUUUGUGUAAAUCCUCGUGCUACGAGCCUAGCCUUGUGUCUCUCCACACUGCCAUCUGCCCUGUACUUUAUUGUAAACAGCCAUUUGUAGUCUACUGUUUGUUUUCCUGGUGGUAGGUCAACAAUCCUCCAGGUUUCAUUGCUUUGUAACGCCCUUAUCUCUUCCAAAACUGCCUGUCUCCACUCAGGUAUUCUCAUGGCCUCCUCUAUGUUGCGAGGUUUGGUAUCCAAGUGUACAGUAAACGCCCUAAAUUCAGGGCUUAGGCGGCCAUAGUGAACGUACCGUUGUAUCGGAUGACGAGUGCAUUCUCGCACACCCUUUCUCAAUGCAAUAGGCUCACUGAAUAGGGUUUCCUGUUGCACUUCUUCUUCAGCGAUAUCAGCACUCUCAGAUUCACUAUGAGUGUCCAUCCCUUCACUGUUUCUUCCAGUUUCUGGUUCAGGCUCUAUAUUAGGCUCGAGCCUCUGUCUCCGCUGGUAAACAUGCUGAAUUGGUGGUCUGCUGCUCGUUUCUGGAGCAGGUGCUGGUUCUUCUCCAACUAUGCCCGUAUGAAUGGGAGGCAUGGUUGGUCCAUCCAACGCAAUUAAAUUCUCCAGAUCUAGAGCUUCUUCAGUUUCUGCCACCUCUGCCACUGUUGGCUGUGGCUGUAUCUCCCCCUGAAGCUCUGGAGUAGUGUAAUAGGCGUAGGUUUCAAAAAAUGUCACAUCCAUGGUCACCACAACUUUCCUGGUGAUAGGGGAGUAACAUUUAUACCCUUUCUGCCGAGGAGAAUAGCCAAUGAACACACACCUCUGUGCUCGAGGAUCCAGCUUGGUCCUUUGAUGCUGCUGGAUGUGAGUGAAGGCAAGGCAUCCAAAAACCUUAGGUUCCAAUUCAGACAUAUACGCACGUACAUGCGGGUAUGUUUUCAUCAAUACAUCUUUAGGUGUUUGAUAAUUGAGGAUGCGACUUGGUAGCCUAUUGAUCAAGUAGGUUGCUGUUAACACAGCCUCCCCCCAUAGGUACUUUGGAACCUGUUUGAUGAAGAGCAAUGCUCUAGNNNNNNNNNNNNNNNNNNNNNNNNNNNNNNNNNNNNNNNNNNNNNNNNNNNNNNNNNNNNNNNNNNNNNNNNNNNNNNNNNNNNNNNNNNNNNNNNNNNNNNNNNNNNNNNNNNNNNNNNNNNNNNNNNNNNNNNNNNNNNNNNNNNNNNNNNNNNNNNNNNNNNNNNNNNNNNNNNNNNNNNNNNNNNNNNNNNNNNNNNNNNNNNNNNNNNNNNNNNNNNNNNNNNNNNNNNNNNNNNNNNNNNNNNNNNNNNNNNNNNNNNNNNNNNNNNNNNNNNNNNNNNNNNNNNNNNNNNNNNNNNNNNNNNNNNNNNNNNNNNNNNNNNNNNNNNNNNNNNNNNNNNNNNNNNNNNNNNNNNNNNNNNNNNNNNNNNNNNNNNNNNNNNNNNNNNNNNNNNNNNNNNNNNNNNNNNNNNNNNNNNNNNNNNNNNNNNNNNNNNNNNNNNNNNNNNNNNNNNNNNNNNNNNNNNNNNNNNNNNNNNNNNNNNNNNNNNNNNNNNNNNNNNNNNNNNNNNNNNNNNNNNNNNNNNNNNNNNNNNNNNNNNNNNNNNNNNNNNNNNNNNNNNNNNNNNNNNNNNNNNNNNNNNNNNNNNNNNNNNNNNNNNNNNNNNNNNNNNNNNNNNNNNNNNNNNNNNNNNNNNNNNNNNNNNNNNNNNNNNNNNNNNNNNNNNNNNNNNNNNNNNNNNNNNNNNNNNNNNNNNNNNNNNNNNNNNNNNNNNNNNNNNNNNNNNNNNNNNNNNNNNNNNNNNNNNNNNNNNNNNNNNNNNNNNNNNNNNNNNNNNNNNNNNNNNNNNNNNNNNNNNNNNNNNNNNNNNNNNNNNNNNNNNNNNNNNNNNNNNNNNNNNNNNNNNNNNNNNNNNNNNNNNNNNNNNNNNNNNNNNNNNNNNNNNNNNNNNNNNNNNNNNNNNNNNNNNNNNNNNNNNNNNNNNNNNNNNNNNNNNNNNNNNNNNNNNNNNNNNNNNNNNNNNNNNNNNNNNNNNNNNNNNNNNNNNNNNNNNNNNNNNNNNNNNNNNNNNNNNNNNNNNNNNNNNNNNNNNNNNNNNNNNNNNNNNNNNNNNNNNNNNNNNNNNNNNNNNNNNNNNNNNNNNNNNNNNNNNNNNNNNNNNNNNNNNNNNNNNNNNNNNNNNNNNNNNNNNNNNNNNNNNNNNNNNNNNNNNNNNNNNNNNNNNNNNNNNNNNNNNNNNNNNNNNNNNNNNNNNNNNNNNNNNNNNNNNNNNNNNNNNNNNNNNNNNNNNNNNNNNNNNNNNNNNNNNNNNNNNNNNNNNNNNNNNNNNNNNNNNNNNNNNNNNNNNNNNNNNNNNNNNNNNNNNNNNNNNNNNNNNNNNNNNNNNNNNNNNNNNNNNNNNNNNNNNNNNNNNNNNNNNNNNNNNNNNNNNNNNNNNNNNNNNNNNNNNNNNNNNNNNNNNNNNNNNNNNNNNNNNNNNNNNNNNNNNNNNNNNNNNNNNNNNNNNNNNNNNNNNNNNNNNNNNNNNNNNNNNNNNNNNNNNNNNNNNNNNNNNNNNNNNNNNNNNNNNNNNNNNNNNNNNNNNNNNNNNNNNNNNNNNNNNNNNNNNNNNNNNNNNNNNNNNNNNNNNNNNNNNNNNNNNNNNNNNNNNNNNNNNNNNNNNNNNNNNNNNNNNNNNNNNNNNNNNNNNNNNNNNNNNNNNNNNNNNNNNNNNNNNNNNNNNNNNNNNNNNNNNNNNNNNNNNNNNNNNNNNNNNNNNNNNNNNNNNNNNNNNNNNNNNNNNNNNNNNNNNNNNNNNNNNNNNNNNNNNNNNNNNNNNNNNNNNNNNNNNNNNNNNNNNNNNNNNNNNNNNNNNNNNNNNNNNNNNNNNNNNNNNNNNNNNNNNNNNNNNNNNNNNNNNNNNNNNNNNNNNNNNNNNNNNNNNNNNNNNNNNNNNNNNNNNNNNNNNNNNNNNNNNNNNNNNNNNNNNNNNNNNNNNNNNNNNNNNNNNNNNNNNNNNNNNNNNNNNNNNNNNNNNNNNNNNNNNNAGUAGUUGUCUUCUUCCUCUUCUCCUUUUGUUGAGUUCUGCACCUGCUUGUUGUUGCGGUAUUGAUUGCGCACAGCAAGGGCUGAACUUUCAACUUGAGGGGUAGGAGGAGUUUUCGCUGGAACAACCAUGAGAUCUCUUCGAUGUUCUUCCCCAAAUAUGGCAGCAAACGCUUCCGUGAGACUAGGGAAGGGCUUGGUACUCAUGAUUUGGCUCUUUAUGCUGUCCAGAUCCUGGUUUAACCCUAGAAGAAAAGACAGGGUUCUUUUCUUCUCAAUAUACAUCCUGAAUCGUAGCUGAUCUUCAGGGGUAUCCCAUUCCUGUGCAUCAUACGUAUCCAGGUGUAGCCAGUGAUGUCCAAGAGUAUUGUAGUACUCUGUGACGUCCAUAUCUCCUUGCUGAAGAUGGAACAGCUGUUGUUCGAUCUUGAACAUGGCAGACGAGUUGUCAAUUGUUGAGUAUGUAUUUCUGGCAGCAUCCCAGAUGGCCUUGGCAGUCGGGUGAAGGAUAUAAUUCUCCCCGAUGUUUGGCUUCAUGGAGUUGAUCAGCCAGGUACGGACCAAACUGUCAUGCUCAUUCCAGGUUUGGAAUUUUGGAUCUGUCUCGUCUGGAGCUUUGAUUUUUCCAGUGAGAUAUCCUCCUUUUCCUCUUCCUGUGAUAUGCAUCUCUACGGUCUUAGACCACUUGAGAUAAUUUUUGCCAUCCAGCCUGUGUGUGGUGAGGAAGCUUGAGUAAUCCGUCGUCGCUGCUGGUGCCACGGAGUUCGCGAUCUCUCCAGCAGUAUCGGAUCCGUUUGAAGCUCCGUCUGUCACCAUGGCUUAGGAUUGCAGCGGAAUUGUUUUAGGUCAGGUACAGAGUAGGCUCUGAUACCAUGAAGAUUGAGAGAAUGAAUUACUUUUAUUCAUGUCUCGUAGGUUUAUUAUAUACAGCAUUCCUCCUACUGACUAGGUAGGAAAAUAUCUACUCUAACUAUUUAAUAGGAUCUGCUAGCUAAACUAGGAUAGGACUAGAACUAACACGGUAACUAUCUAACUAGCAAAUAAACUAAUAAGAUCUGACUGUAUACAAAUAAGGAACGGGAUUUCCUCAUCUAAUGACCUUAUUUGUAUUUAUAUCCAUUUCAUUCCUUUUCCAGGAUUUAGCUGAAAACUUAGGCCCUUUAUCUAAAGCGAAAGAGAAGCUAGAGAGUGAUUAUGAAAAGUUAAAAAACGACCUUGAGCUGGAGUACGAGAAACAGAGGAAAGAGUUGGAUAACUAUCUGUUUGAAGUUGACACGGUGCAAAAGUUGAUGUCUAAAAUUAAAGAGUAAGUAUGUAAGCUAAUAUGUUUCUUAGAAAUUCAUAAGUGUGUAAAUCGGUAGCUGGCCAUCACAUUCUCACACUAAUUGAGUUUGCCAUCAAUCUUCAACUGUCAGGUACUAUGAUCUUAAAACAGGUGUGAGAUUGAAAGAGGCACAAGAAAAGUUAGCUACAUCUGAGUCUCAACUUGAAUCUUGUGAAACAGUAAAAGGGCAACAUUCAAAUGAAUUAAGCGUGUUGAAGGGAAAAGUGGAACAGCAAGAUAAAUGCAGAAGAGAUAUCGAAGACAACAUAAAUUAUAGGAAAAUUAAGGCUGACAUCGAGGUGCGUACUAAGGAGAUUGAAUCAUUAGAAAAGAAGCUUCUACAGAUAGGUGCAUCCUCAAAGUACGAAGCUGAUCUCAUCAAGUUUGGAGAAGAAAGGGACAUGCUUAACGCAGAGGUAUGUUUCUUUGCUGAGAAAUCACUCUACCUAGUUUUUUUUAAAAAAAAUUUGGAACUUAGGAGAAAUUAGUUCCAAGGAGUUGCAAGUCUAUUGAGCUCCUGGAAUGAUUUAGACUCUUGCCUUACAAAAAAAUUGUGUCAAAUGUUGUAUUUGAGUCCCCCCUGAAUGUAUUGGACUUUCAAGGUACCGUACCUUGGUUUCCCUUCACUCCAUGUUAGUGUGUUGUGUCAAAGUUUUGAUCUAGUCGCAAAUACAGUAUUGAAAAUUUGUGGAUCAUAGAACUAGAAACCGAUGUCUAGUUUUCAUCCACUGUCAGCACAGUUUAACUAGAUGCUGCAAUUGAAUAUGUUUCUUCCUUAGGGAGAGUGUUUGAUUUGACUAAUGCGUUGUUUUCAUUGCUAUGUUAUUUGUUUUCAUUGGUAGUACACUUUGACCCGAACUUUUCUUGUUUGAUUAUGACCAAGUGUAAAUGAAAUGAGGUUAAUGUUCCUGUUUGAAAAACAGUUCAACAAAUGUGAAGGAACAAUGUCGGUGUAUCAAGAGAAUAUCUCCAAUAAUAAAGUUGAUCUUAAGCAGCCACUUUAUAAGGAUAUAGACAAGCGGUACUUCGAUCAGCUAAUACAGCUCAAGGUGCGCAUUAUUGUUCUUGUUUUACUAAGUCAGAGUGCAGAUUAGAUUUUCCCUGUCCGCUUGUUAUAUUGCAUAUCUAAAGGAAAAGCUUCUGACAGACUACUGAAAUGGCCAACAAGGACCUUGACAGAUACUACAGUGCCCUUGACAAGUAAGACCACGGGAAUUAACUCGACUGUGAUAGCUCAUCCCCUUAUUUGAUUAAUGUGCUUUUGCUUAACUUGGUUAUGGGUAGUUAACUGCUGUGUCGUAAUUUUGGCAGAGCUCUCAUGCGCUUCCACUCCAUGAAGAUGGAGGAAAUCAACAAAAUAGUCAGGGAAUUGUGGCAGCAAACCUAUAGGGGACAGGAUAUAGAUUACAUAAGGAUACAUUCUGAUCCUGAAGGUUCUGGGACUCGUUCGUACAGCUACAAGGUUUGCCAUACAUGCUGAGUUACUGUUUGAUUCUCGAAAAUAGAAUAACAAUCUGAAUAAUUCCGAAAUGCAAAAUUAUAGGUACUCAUGCAGACCGGUGAUACAGAGCUUGAAAUGAGAGGAAGGUGCAGCGCUGGGCAGAAGGUAUGUGGAUUUAACUGUAAUAGUGGUGGAGGUUGAUGGAAUUCUGAAAAAAAGAAAUGAAUUUGAUGUGAUAUGAUGACAGGUUCUUGCAUCACUCAUAAUUCGAUUAGCGUUAGCGGAAACGUUCUGCCUCAACUGUGGAAUACUAGCUCUAGAUGAACCUACAACAAACUUGGACGGGCCAAAUGCAGAGAGUCUGGCUGCUGCUUUGCUAAGGUAAAAAAAAGUAAGACAUAAAAAUAUGAGAAACAGAAGGUUCAAUCUUAGUUUUGCUUGAUCUCAUGGGAUUUCUUUUUGUUGCAGAAUAAUGAAUGACAGGAAGGGGCAGGAGAACUUCCAGCUGAUUGUAAUAACUCAUGAUGAGCGUUUUGCUCAGAUGAUUGGGCAGCGCCAGCAUGCUGAACGAUAUUAUAGAAUCUCAAAAGAUGACCAGUAAGUGAAACUGCAUCUUCUUCCACUGUCAUUCAGAAUCUAUUCCUGAUUUCCUAGUUCAUAUCUUUUCUUUCUUUCUCCUCAGUCCUUGUGUUUUUAUUCUGUGUUUUUUUGUUGGGUCUUCAGCCAACACAGCAUAAUCGAAGCUCAAGCGAUCUUCGAUUGAGGUGGUUUUCUAUCUCAUGCUUUGUAGUAGAAGGUGAAGUCAAGACUGUUAAAUAGUGACGAUAGGGGUCUACUCUUGUUUUUGUGUGGCUAUGGGCUUAGCUUGUAUCAACAUCGACCUUCUAAGUCCUAUAAAAUUAUGUAUCAACUUUAUUUCAUUCCGCACAAUACAAAUUGGAGAUUUCAUUUACCCUCUCAGCAGAUUUCAUUUGUCCCACCCCCCAAAUACCUACCAUAUAUCUAUCCAGUCCGAGUCAACUUACGUGUUUGACAGGGAAAAAUUCUAUCGAAGCCAUAUCAGAAUUAUUGGAAAAUUAAAAUUUUGGCGUAAAAAUUAUUGAAAAUUAAAUUUUUAUGUUAAAGAUAUUAAUUGAUUUUUCAUAUAAAGGAUAUUAAUUGAAUAGGAAAAUUAAGGGAAAAAGAAAAAGAAAAGGCCUGACAAACCUUUAUAUGAAUUUACCAAAAUGCCCUUUCCACAGAAUUCUACUCACUUCAGCCUGUUUUAAUGAAUUACAUGGAGAAUUUAUACCGAAAUUAAUUCCUGUUUGGAAUGUAAUAUUCAAUUUUUAAAAAUAAAUUAAUUGGAAUUACAAAUUAUGUUUGGUAUACUAUUCAUAAUUGAAUUAAAUUAAGAGAAAUAACUCCGAUAGAAACAUGCACCCGGUACAAACGCUACGUGACGAUUUCUGACCUGCUCUUCUAAUUGUAUGCCAUUGAAACCUUUAAUUUUUGAUUAAUUAACAACAUCAUCACCCGAAAAUAUAGCCAUGUUGCCGGGAUGACGUUUAGCAAAACAAUAGUAAGAAUGGUUAAUGAACAAAGAAAUUAUUAUGGUACCAUGGGAGAAAAACAAAAUCUAAAUUCAAAGUCAUCAGCUUUCUUUCCUGCAGAAGCAGAAUAGUAAGUGAGGUACCAUCGAGCGAAGUUCUUCAACCCUGAUUGCAGAUCCGUGGUGGGAUUACAUCCAAGCUCACUGUGAGCCAAACUUAUACUAGCAUGUGUAAACUGUAACAUCCCCAUUCCUCAGGCAACCUCAUUACAUUCUUCUUGGCCUUAAACCUUCUUCAAAAGAAACUGAUAUGGGAUUAAACAUAGUUUAGAUUAUAUUUAACAAUCCGUUCAAAAAUCAGACUAAAUUUAAAUACUCGGCCUUAUAAAAAAGGAGAAAAUAUGAAAAGAGCGUACUGGGUCCUACCCAGGGUUAAGGAGGUUACUGGGUGAAGUCUUCUGGGUAGUCAAAUAGUUGGUGGCGAGGGUUGGUAAGUUAGAAGUUGGUUUGAUUAGGUGGGUCUAAAAUAAAACAAGACAAAGUAUCUAAAUUACACAAUAUACACCCCGAUUGUUAGUAUUUGAAACAUUGAGGACACAUCGAUUUUGUGAAAUUACGGGAUGAUUUUGUACAAAAUUAAAAUGUAUGGGACUACUAAUUUCUAAUUAACCAAGAUUUAACUGAGCUUAACACCGUCAAUCUCUUUUACCCGCGACAAGUGGGAAUCACGGCGUCCCGUUUCCCUCCGUAUUUUAAUAUUAUUUUUCUCCACCAAAACAAAAAAGUCAGAUCCACCAACCCCUACCAGAACCCAGCCGAUUUAUACGACGCCGUAAGAAGCAGCGACACUUAGAUCCAAUCUGAACCGUCCAUCAUCGCCCACCCUCCUCUUUAUAAAUCCCUACUUCCCACUCUUCACCUCUGUCUCUCGCUCACUGCUUCUUAUCCCUCUUCUCCCUCAUUUCUCAGAUCCCAAAUCGCCGGUAGUCGUUUUUGUCGCUAGAAUGGCUCUCAUCGUCGACAAAACCACCACCGGCCGUGAGUACAAGGUCAAGGACAUGUCCCAGGCCGACUUCGGCCGCCUCGAGCUCGAGCUUGCCGAGGUUGAGAUGCCUGGUCUCAUGUCCUGCCGUACCGAGUUCGGCCCGUCGCAGCCGUUUAAGGGUGCCAGGAUCACCGGAUCCCUCCACAUGACCAUCCAGACCGCUGUCCUGAUCGAGACCCUCACCGCCUUGGGAGCUGAGGUCCGUUGGUGUUCGUGCAACAUCUUCAGCACCCAGGACCACGCUGCCGCCGCCAUCGCCCGUGACUCCGCCGCUCGUCUCUGACUCCGCCGCUGUCUUCGCCUGGAAGGGAGAGACCCUCCAGGAGUACUGGUGGUGUACCGAGAGGGCUCUCGACUGGGGUCCGGAUGGCGGCCCUGAUCUGAUUGUCGACGAUGGAGGUGAUGCCACUCUCUUGAUCCACGAGGGUGUCAAGGCCGAGGAGGAGUAUGAGAAGUCUGGAAAGGUCCCAGACCCUGCUUCCACCGACAACGCCGAGUUCCAGAUUGUUCUCACCAUCAUCAGGGACGGUUUGAAGACUGACCCCAAGAAGUACCGCAAGAUGAGGGACAGAUUGGUUGGCGUUUCUGAGGAGACCACCACUGGUGUCAAGAGGCUCUACCAGAUGCAAGAGAAUGGAACACUUCUCUUCCCUGCUAUCAAUGUCAACGACUCUGUCACCAAGAGCAAGGUAUUCAACUCUUACUCGUUCAGAUCUGUGUUUCCUUCAAUUAGAUCUGUCAGAUCUGCUAUAUUGUUGUGCUUCCAUAUCGAACACGGAAAUGUAAUCUGAAAUAAAAAAAAAGUAGUCUAGCUAGAUACGGUUGACUUGCCUUUGUUAGAAUGACUACAGUGGGACGGUUUACUUUUCAGAUCUAUCAACGUCCCACAUUGUAUAUAAGAUUAUUUAUUACUCGGCGUGCUGAAUGAUUCAAUUGAUUGAUGGUGUAGUAUCUUAGUUUAGUGUGCCUCUAGGGCUCUAGCAGAUGCAUUAUUGGCUAAGGGUUUUAUAUAGCUAAUUCUUCGUGUAAAUUUCCUCAUUUUGCAGUUCGAUAACUUGUAUGGUUGCCGUCACUCCCUCCCCGAUGGUCUGAUGAGGGCUACUGAUGUUAUGAUUGCCGGAAAGGUUGCUGUUGUUUUGGGAUAUGGUGAUGUUGGAAAGGGAUGUGCUGCUGCCAUGAAGCAGGCUGGAGCUCGCGUCAUUGUGACCGAGAUUGAUCCCAUCUGUGCCCUUCAGGCUCUUAUGGAAGGUCUCCAGGUGUUGACCCUUGAGGAUUGCGUUGCUGAGGCUGACAUCUUCGUCACCACUACUGGAAACAAGGACAUCAUCAUGGUUGACGACAUGAGGAAGAUGAAGAACAACGCCAUUGUAUGCAACAUCGGUCACUUUGACAAUGAGAUUGACAUGAAUGGUCUUGAGACCUUCCCUGGAGUGAAGCGCAUCACCAUAAAGCCCCAGACCGACAGGUGGGUGUUCCCAGACACCAAGAGCGGCAUCAUUGUGUUGGCAGAGGGACGUCUCAUGAAUUUGGGAUGUGCAACUGGUCACCCCAGCUUUGUGAUGUCCUGCUCCUUCACCAACCAGGUGAUUGCUCAGCUUGAGCUCUGGAACGAGAGAUCCAGUGGCAAGUAUGAGAAGAAGGUGUACGUUCUGCCCAAGCACCUUGACGAGAAGGUGGCUUUGCUCCAUCUUGGAAAGCUUGGAGCUAGGCUCACAAAGUUGUCCAAGGACCAGGCUGACUACAUCAGCGUUCCAGUUGAGGGUCCUUACAAGCCUGCUCACUACAGGUACUGAGCAAACGAAGUUAUAAGGGGAUUGGAGUGGAAGAAGAACCAGAUUUGCUUUUGGUGGAAAAUGCGGCGAUCCGUUGGUUUGUUUUCCAUUUGUGUUAGAAUGUGUUUAGGUUUUGGUUUUAAUGUUGAUGGUGUUAUGGUCUGGGAAGGGAAGGGUGAGAGGGCUUUCGGGGGAAUGGAUGAAUAAGGGCAUCUGGGAAUGGGGGUUGUGUCUGACAGAAUUCUUUUGGUUUUAUUUUCGCGAAUUUGGAUUUUCUGCCAUGCUGCCUGAGGCGCUGGCUUUAUCAUAUAAAAUUUUAGAAUGAAAAUGAAGAGUUGUUUGCCUUCAUAUGCUCUCUGCUGCCUUGCUUGGUUCUCUUUCAUUUCUCGCUGCUCCUUUUUUACUUAUUUCAACAUCAUUACACUGCCGUUGUUGAGUCGAGUUUUGCAAAGCUCAUCUCGGCUCGUUGGUUUGUAAUAGCAGCCCGAGCUUGAAGUUCACUAACUCAUGAGCUAGUUCACUAAUCGAGCCAACUAAAGAGCCAUAAUUGAGCCAUCACUUGAGCCAAUUUUUCAGUCUUAUUGUAAUUGAGCCUCAAAUGAACUUGCUUAAGAAGCAAGUUCAUCAAGCUGCGUUUGGCUCGCGAGCAAGCUUGUUUAUGAUCGAGACUCAUUUUCGAGUUUUAGUACUGGGUAAUAGAGUCGAGGGCCAGCUUGUUUAAGAUCGAUGCGAGUCUUGAUUGAACUUGUUUCGAGCCUUCCUAAUGAACAUAAAUCUAUUAGUGGGUAGGUGAAACUCUUUCAAGUUUAUCGUCGACAGCAAUAAUCAAUGCUUUUGCCUUGGGUGCUUGCACAAGAUGGUAAACGGAUGGCUACAAAGUGUAAGGAUCGAUCUCACAACCUCAUACUUAAGGGAUAAAGUGACUAACCAACAAUGCCACAUUUUAUGAUUACUAAUAGCAUUUUAAUAAAUCAACAAAUAAAUGAUUAGUCAAUUUCUUCCGUAAAAAGUGAUUUAUGUUUUCUGAUAACUCUCGAGGAACAAAAAAUUAAAAUUGACAAAUCAUCCUAGAUAACAUAAUAUGGGGUCUUUGGGAUCGGGAGAGCUGUCACAAAGAUUGAGAUCUCUAAAGAUGCUGUUUUCUUUUUAAAAAAUUUUAAUUUAUAACUACUAGAGUAAUCACGGGUUUACUACUUGAUUAAUGCGUUUUAAUUUUUUAUGUAUUUUUUUAAUGAACAUCUCAUUAUUCAUAAAAAAAACUCAGUACAACAACCAUCCAGCAAACCACAGGGUGGCGAUAUCUAAAUAUCUAAUUUGUCUCGGAACUGCAGUGCAGUUACCUAUAAUUAGACCAAAUCUUGUCUAGCCAAAGAUAAUUACCAUCCAUAUUCUGAGAGGAAUUUUGGGGCAAGCAGGUCUAGGCAUUUCAUCAAUCGUUUCCAGCCCCAAGAUUUGGUUUGAGGAGGGCAAUGAACCAAAAAAUCAUCCCCUUUCAGACGGUGAGCAUUGAUCCAGACCACCCACAGACUCCCACUGCAAAGGAGAAUCAAUCUUCCAGAUAUGUUUAGCUGCACAAGCAAGAUUCAACCAUUUGAGGAGGAUAAUAAUACCAGCACCGCCUUCUUCGUAAGAGGGGAGGACGACAGAUGGUCACCAAUGUUGCAAUUACCACCAGCCAAGUGGCCACGAGACAGCCGAAUGCCAUGUCUUUCUAGGCAAAGUGCAAACCUUACUGGAGAGCACAAAGACAUUCGAUGAAGGAAGUGAACGGCCUCGCGAGACAAGUGCUCGGACCUCUAUAAGAUCAAGCUUAGUUGAGACACCCCACAAUUUUCUUAUAUUGUUUGUACUAAACCCAAGCUUAGUUGAGACACCCCAAAGUCUAGUAGCACCCUCGCUCCCAGGUACAAACGCUGUUAAAAUAGUAAAAAACACAAGGGUGUAGCAGACUUCCUUGUCGGAAUGGAGUAACAUAGCGGUUUCUUUCGACCCAAGACAGUCCUCAUCAAUGAAGUAGUAUAUUACGAGCCUUGAAGCAGAAACCGACUAAACUACUUGACAGCCAAGAAAACCCGGCGAAGAUGACUAAAUUUGGGCGAAGGGUGGCUAGUGACAGACUUAAUCCUGCAUCCGUCACGAACCACGGCAUAUGUUGGUUUAGCGGAACACUUUGGACAGGACAAGCCAUAGCUGGUUUGAGACCCAGAAACAGAAAUUGCUUUUGAUACAGUGUGUGAUUUCAUUUAUACUCCAAUUACGAGGACAACAUAGAGCGACGCAAAUUGAAAGAGGGAAUAAUGACAAGUCAAAAUCUAACUUCAAAUCUAACCAACCUGGAGUGGAAAUAAGAAAGGGCAGAUCUGCCAAAAACACACUUCACUUUCAACAUCCCAAUCAAAAUGCAGGGAAGAAAUUGGGAUUCACAUCACAGUGCACUAAUUUACUCAUAGGCGAUUUGAUUGAUUGAUCAAUCAAUCGUUAAAGUCUUUGAUAUCUCUAGCGCACCUGGUGAUGACCUCACAACCCCGGCUGUAAGUGUUAGCCGGUCGAGAAUGAUGACAAUCGUAGUAGGAAGCACCUGGAUUGUCGCAAGGGACUAUAUCCCUCUUCAGUGUUGCGUAGCUUAUGUAUCUCCUCUGCAUCAUCAGCAUCCUCCUACUGAUCUCCGACUCCAUCUCCACUGGCUCUUCUUCGCCCGGGUAAAAUGCGCCAACUUCAACUGAGGAGAACCCAUUACAAAUUGGGGGAUUGGGGUGCAAGAGAAUGAGAGACAAGAAGAGAAUUUGGAGGAAAGUGAAGGGCUUUAGCAGCAUUUUAUUUGCUUGAGCUGAGGGAGAGUAAAGUUGCUUCCUUCCCUCUCUCACUACUCAGGGUUGUUGGUUAUUUUAGUCUCGUGAGUUUGGAACUUGGAGGUGUGUGAGAUUUCAAUGGUGGGUGGUGGUAGGGAGGGGGUGGGGGCGCGAAAUUGCUAAUGAUCCAGGAGGUUCAAUCUCUUAGAUUGUGUAGAUAAAGAUCCAACGGUUUAAAAUUAAUUUUGCUAAUUUUAAUCUAACGGUUACAAUUUUAUCAGGGUAUAACAAAAAUUUAUAAAUAUUUUCUCUCUUUCAGUUUUUCUUUCUUUAUUCUCUCUAUUCUUCUCACAUAAACUGGAUAUAAUAAUGACAAAAUAAUGAUGUAAUAAUGACAUAACGUUGACAUAAUAAAAACGCAUAACAAACUCGUAAAGUGUAUAUAUCACCAACAUAUAAGAGUGGUAAACUAGACAUAACGAUGAUGAAUUGAACUACUCGCAAGGUGAAAGUAACAACGACAUAACGAGCCUGUAAUGUGAUCGUAUUAGUGACAUAACAUGCUCGUACAACGACCACACCUAUGUAAUUUUUUUUCAAUUUUUUGGUUCCAAAACUACCCCAUUCAAGUCAAUUCAUUUGGCUUAUUUUCAACUAUUGGAUGAAAUUUGACCAAAAAAUCGUAUAAUCCAACGAUCAAAAUCUGUCGGGACCUCUGAAUCAAUUUCUCGAAUCAUUAAUCUGGUCUGUGGGGUAAUGUUCAUUACUUAUUAGGUGGCGAAUGGUGACAGCUGACAAAGACAAAACAAGGUGGGAGUGAAAAAUGGCGACUUUGUUUACUACUUGGCUGCUGUGGAACUGUGCUUUUAUUUUGGGUUGGUUAGCACUUAUUAUGACAGAUAACACUUCAAAUGCAGGGGUAAUCAUUCUUUUUUUUCCCCCUCUUCUUCGUCAAAAUUAUUGACUAUUGAUGGCCAUGUCUCAACGUAGGCGUUAAGCCUGAGAACUCUUUAUUUACAAGCUUUAGGCACCACUUGUAUGUAUGAUUACAACCCAUGUGGGUGGGGGUUAGAAUUAGUAGAGUUGAUUAAGUUGGGUAACACCUUUUUUUAAGUAAUUUAAUUAUAGUUUUCGGGUUACAUAACAUUAGAGACUAUUUGGAAUGUGCGAUUGGUCAUUCCAGCUUUGUGAUGUCCUGUGUGGAAGGUGGUUGGGUUGUGUCUGAUAAAAUUUUGUUUGGUAUUUGUUUUUGCAAUUUUGGAUUUUAUAUAAUCAUAAUUUUCGGUUAUAUAUAACAUUCUAUAAAUUAGUUUGAUUAUAUAUUAAAAUUCACAAUUUAAUUGAAAUAAUAAAUUGGUUUGAUUACAGAUGGAUUUGGAUAAUAUGGAUAUAUUCUCUUUGUUUUAUAAAUAGAGUGUAGUAUGUUAUUAUAUAUAUGAACGGUUUUAUAUAUAAAAAUAAAGAAAAAAACUUAUAAAUCCGGAUAGAGUUAAGAAGAUGAGAAAAUAACAAUAAACUUGAGCCCGUGAGUUGUAUUUUUCUAUUACAAAAAAAUGAUCUUUCUAGUCUGUAUCUUUUGGUGUGGAAUAAUUUUUUUUUUAAUAAGGAAUUUCAUUCCAUAACGAUGGAUAUACAAGCAGGAUAGAUUAUAAAUAUAUAGCAACAUUAAUCCGGAAGUUCUUCUCAGAUAUAAGGAAUGAUCUCCGUAUGAAUUACGAGAUCACCUCUAGGACGCCUUCGGCAUCAUGUUGUCCGGGAGAGAAUGGGCUCGAGUAAAUUUAGCCACCCAAUCAACAAUUCGGUUAUCUUUGCGGGGUAAAGGCUACUCGAAUCUAAGAGAAGUUGAACAUUGGGAUAAUUAUGGACUCCUGAAUAACAACACAUUCCACGAUUUAGGGACGAUGUAGUUAAUGAUUUAACCAAAAUAAUACAAUCCGGAAAAAUGAUUUAACCAAAAUGAUUUAUUAUUCCUACAAAAUACUCCUUGAAUUUAAUUUCAUUAUAUUUGUAUUCUUGAUUUGAAUUAUGAGUUUAAUAUUUUAUAUUCAUCGGUUCAUUAUUAGUAAUAAUUAUAGUCUGAAUAUUUUAUUGGAUUGGGUUAGGUAUUGUUUUUAUUGGGUUCCAAAUCAUAAAAAAAAUCGAUUUGUUAAUCAAACUAAAUCAUGCCUAGCUACUAACCAUUAAAUACAAGUUAGUCUGGUUUGAUUAGUACGGUUGUUUUUUUGCGUAAUUUUAAGAAAUUAUAGGAUCGUAUUUCCAAGCCAGCCCUGCCAAGUUUUUGCAGUGAAGAGUGGACGACCAAGAAACCCUUCCAGGCGACACAAUUCUUUAGAAUCGGAAAGGAAUUCCUCUCCUCGUCGAUACAAAGCUAUAACCAAAAAACAAAAUCAUGGGAAAGAUCCCGGAGGACUUGCAAAUGUAUGUUGCCUAGCUACAUGCGAAAUUUGGUGGUGAUUUGUCUCCAAUGUUCCAGUAGUAAAUCAACAUCAACCACCUGUUCUUGUGUUCUACCAACCAUAACCAUGUGCACAUAUCCAAGGCUGACUUUACUUGAAGAGAUCUGGGUUUAACCAGUCCCUGAAAUAGGUGGACAAUUUGAAAAAGGCAAUACAAGUCAAUUACACCACGCGUGAAAGGAAGCGGAUAGAGUUUCAAAUCUCUCCAGUUGGUGUGAAUGGGGACUUAUGAUGCAUUUUGCAACUUACUUUGUUAUAUCGUCAAGGUGAUCAUCGAAAUCCAUCACGUCGUGCCACUUCUCAGAUGAUAUGUAGUCUAGUAAUAUGGUAUUUGCAGCUGGCUCCUUAAAUACCAAAUUACUGCUUCCAUCUGGCCCAGCUAGCUUCCAGUUCUUGUACGAAUCCUUUGUAUAGAGCUAGUAUGAGAAAGGAAAAAACAUUCAGUUGCCAGGCAAAACUUUUAGCAAGAGCCAUGCAUAGUUAAUGAAACAACGGAGAGCUGGCCAGACAUGCACCAAAUGGUUAGACCGACAAACAACAAUUGGCAGUGACGAAAGUUUGUACCAGUGCAUUCCUGUUAUCAACUUGCAUUAAGGUAGUAAGAAGAUGGGACAACUUUACGAAAUCAGAACUUUUCAAAGUUUAUCAUUUGUGUAGCACCUGAGGGCCAUCUGUCAAAUUUAACAAUCGAAGACCAACUUAGAGAUCCUAUAACUUGGAUCUCACACAUCAUUCAAAACAGUUGUUUUACUUAAAGAUGCAAUCUUCUCUGUAACAAUGCAGGAACCAGAAACCAAAUCCUCGGUACAAUUUCAAUUCAAAUGCUGCCAGUGAUAUUCAGUAUUGUGGCCACCAAUGAAUCAAAAGAAGCUUACUACCUUCUAAAGGCAGUCAUACAUCAUAAUUCAUAAGCUGACACCCUACGACAAGCAGGAGAGACGCAGCUCUUACAAGCUUCGCGAAAAUUCAUAAUCAAUAACCGCAUCUAAUCGAAAGAAUGCAUUAGCGGAAAGCUGAUCCAUUUACAUAUUACAAGUUUACAACAGAAAUAGGGCACAAGAAUGAACCUGCACAACAGGGCUGCGACCUUUCCCCUUUGGUAAUGCUUCAAGCUUCUUGUUAUCUAGCUACAGAGAAAAUCGAGAGCAAACUGAGAUUCGAAGCUUAACCGAAUAUAUUAGAAACAUAAUCGUACAGAACAUAUUGACCCACCAAAAGAAGAGCUGCUUGAGGAAAAUAGCGAUAGAUGUGAUCAGCAAUGUUCUUAGCCAUGUUACCAAGCUCAGACUCCUCAAACCUCUCAUUGGCGUGGAAAUACCCAACAAUUGCAAGACCUCGUGCACUAUAGUGUUCCUCUAUCUGUGAGCAGAACGAAUCAGAACUCUAAACCAAUUAGUGACGCCGUUAAAUCCGUAAUACUUCCCGAAUUGUUAGCGCAAACAGUUGAAUUUCAAACUUAUCGCCAAUGCAAAAUAGCGACAGAUAUAAAAACAGAACCCUAGAUCGAGAUUCCGUCCAAUUGAGGUAAGAAGUGAAAGGAGUAGGCGGUAGACGACGAAGAACAUACCAUGAUGAGGGAGAUCUCGAGGGGAGGGAGGAGGCCGAGGUGGUUAUGGAAGAGAGGAACGGAAUCUUCGAUCUCAACGAGGUUUUCGUUGAGAGGAGAAGUCCGGCCGAGCAAGACACCGUUGACGGCUGAGGUAUUAUGCUUGAGAGCGUGGAGAACGAGCUUGAUGUAGGCAUUCUGAGACAUCUCAUAUUUCAGCUCCCCGCCGUCGACCAUGUUUACUGCCGCUGUAAUAAUUGACGGUUGAUUAUGCUGGUUGCUCUUUCUUCCUGCAAUAUUUCCGUAUGAGGGGCGCCGGCCGACUGCAGCUGCCUCGGUGCGUAGUGAUAGACGAGAAAAGUGCGUUGACCGAAGAGUCGAUUUGGAUUUUGGACUCCGUGGGGUUCUCCGGCUAAAAAGUAUAAAAGGUACCGUUAAAUAAUGUUUCGAUACCAUAACUUUAAUGAAUGACUAAAAAACGCACUAACUUUUGAAAACAAACCCCUAAUAUUUGAAUUCUAUAAAUAAAAUUACGGGAAUGUCCUUUAAAUUUAAUAUUUAAAUAUAUACAAUUUAACUAAAAAAAAAAUUAUGACCUAAUUCGUGCCGUCCUGUUGCCGUCGCCGACGCUACUUCCGCCAUAGAAAAAAAGAAGGAGGUGGCGUAGGUGAAUGACGUCGACAGUAAUAAUAUUGGCGUCAUCGGCACCCUUUUUUAAUUAUUAAGUAUUUUAAUAUUUAACCAAUUAUUUUAAUACUCUAAUAUUAAUUAUUAAAUUAUAAUUGGUAUACUAUUCUAUUAUUGAUCGUCGAAAUAACUUCACAGUUAAUUCGACAACUCAAGUGUCGUAUGUGUCGCAUUAUCAAUAGUUAUCGAAAGUGAAUAUAUUCUUUAAGGUUAACAUUCUGAUACUCUUAAAGUAUCGGUAUUCCGUAUAUGUGGUGUGACACCCCGAACUAAACCAAUUUCACCCAUAAUAGUAGAAUUAAGCUAACUCCCUUCCCACAUUACAUAAAAUGAGGCAUUAUCUUCAUUACAUGAAAAGUAGAACCAAAUGUGUUCACGUUAAUUAGCUCCUUCAUGGAUGCUUACUUGGACCAUGCCUAAAUCGCUAACCACUAAACCCUAAAUCCUAUCUCUAAAUUCUAAAUCACAACCGCUACACCCUAAACCCUAUCUUUAACCCUUAAACCAUAAACCAUAAACUCUCUGAACCCUAUCUCUAAACCUUAAACCAUUAAACUAGUUGGACCGUCCGAAUUGAUUGUUGAUCAAAUUACGUGGUUCAUGCACGAAGCAUGCAUGCAAUGUGAAGUAAUGCAUGCAAUGUGGUUCAAUGCAAUUAAGUUAGUGUUCAGAGGUUAGGAUUAAAGGGUUAGUGUUAGGGUUUAGGAUUUAGAAUUUAGGCAUGGUCCGAGUAUGCAUCUAUAAAGGAGCUGAUUCACAUGAAUAUAUUUGGUGCUACCUACUUACCUAUUUCACAUGGUUGGAAGACAAUGUCUCCUUUCAUGUAACGUUAAAAGGAAAUUAGUUUAGUAUUAUUACAGACAAUUAAUGAAAUGAAUAUAGUAACACUCAUCCAAUUAACAAUUACUAUAAUUAAAUAAAUAAUAAUUAAAAUAUAACAAUUCAUCUAUUAUAUAUUUUCACUACUUAGUACUUAAUUACUAUAUUAGAAUAAUAUACUAAUUAUAAUUUGAUAAUUGGUAAGUAAUACAAUCAUAUUUGAAUUGUAUGCUAAUUAUAAUUGAAAAAAACUUCGGUACUCACGACUUAUUGAAUAAUCCUACUUUUAGAAUUUGAUCUUAGCAGUUUAUUUUAAGAUUAAAUCUCAGUGGUUCGAUUUUUUAAUUUCUAAAUUUAAAUUAUUCCCUACAAGAAAUUCAUUAAGGACUUCUUGACUUAAUUCCAAUUAAUAUGUCGCAUCGUUAAAUUUUUUUUAUCACGUUGGUAAGCGGACAUGGUAAAUUGUUAUUUAAACAUCUAUCUUUAAUAUUUCACUUAUUGGCCACUAUAAUUUUAAAAAUUGGAAAUUCAUGCUCCUGGACGUAAUGUUAUCCUUCUAAGACGGCCUCUGAUCCGACUCCACCGAUCGAAAUAGCCUCCUCUACGUCGUUAGAACCGUUAACGGGUGAUUUAGUUGCCCUCCAAAUCCAGAACCUACACUUCGAUGUAGAGAUUGACGGUCGAAUGCCAACUAAAUCUCCAAGGAGGGACAACUUUUCACCAGGUUUCAAAUUACAGGCGAGUCUGCUCGAUACGCCUAGCUUCAUAGAGCUUCCAUCUUGUGGAGUUCCAGUCGACUCCACUGCAGACGAAGAAGGCCGACUACCCCGUUUGUUUGAUUUGUUUCUUGUUAGUCUCGAUUAAAUUGAGUUUGUUUUCGUAUGUGUUAGUUUUCUUUUAGUUUGGUUAGACUUUCUUGGUUGUUAGUGUGUCUGGGGUAAAAGUUACUUUUGGUGUUUUCACUUUAUUUUGCUGUUAGAAACGGUCAUGGUUACGAAGUCUUUAAGGCUACAAAAUACUUUAACGGCUCAAGUUAUUGACUUUUUCUUGUUUUCUAAUUAAAAAAAAAACAUUUUAUAAGAAACCAAUGUACUCAAAGAUAUUUAUCUUGCUCUAUUAAUAAAAAAAUCAUCUUUGAUGAGUCGAAAAAAAUGAAGUCCUUGUUCACCACGUCAUCUCAGCUCGGCUCUCUGCUCCUUUUUCUUCGCCGCCGGAACACUCUUUCAUUUUACCCUCAACUUUUUUUGGUAAAUAUUGUUUUUGGUAAAUUUUACCCUCAACUUCAAGAUGACAAAAAGGACAUGUUCUGUAGACUCAAUCCCACAGGCCCUUUGGGAUUAUAGUUCCUGCACCCUGGACUUUGGAGUAGUAGUAGUUGUAGGAUUCAUCGUUUGGUUGUUUGACUUUCUUUCAUCAAAUCAUCAUCAUGUUCAGAAUUUCAAUGGGAGCAUCAUACUGAAAAGACUUCUACAUGAUGUAUAGAGAGAAGAUGUUGGAGAGAAAAUGGCUUGGACAUUCUGAGUAUUUUGCCAGCCUCUUUUAACAGUUGUUGUAACAAACAUUUAAUAAGAGAACUUUUUCCUGGACUUAUCAAUUAUCAUAGUAAAUAAAAGAUCUUAAGAAAGAAUUAUAUCAUUCUGGUUGAAGUCAGUUUGUUUCCUCAAUCUCCUGGGCAUGCUUUUUGCAUUCUGAUAUCUUUCCUUUGCUAUGCUCCAAUUCUUGAUUCACAUCUCUGCUUUUCAAGUACAGAGUACCAUGAUGGAGCUGUACGUAUUCUAGGAAACAUGGAUUCCACCAUUGAUGGCCUGGAUGAUUUCAAAUGAUAAGGUCGUGGAACUUUAUAUAUGAAUCUGUACAGAUAUUUCCUUUUGCAUAAAACAAAACUCCCAACACUGAAGAUGUCAUUUUUCAGGCAUGUUCAGGUAGUCUACUAAUACUCUACUCUUUUCUUUCAGGCUGGCUGCAAUAAUUCUCAGACAGCACUUGAAGACAUAGAGGAUUCAACCUCUUCUGUACUCUCUUCAGGAGUUGGUUCCAGUUCUGUCUUUGGUUUAGACACUGGUAACGCCUGCUUCUGCUGUGUGUUGCUCAAAAUCUCUUUUUUCGUCUCCUUCAAGUUGAGCGAUGCGUAAACUGACAUCCCCCCAAGUGCUACCACUGCUCCACAUAUGCUUAUAAACCCGGGAUCCGAUUCGAACAGCAAGUAUCCACCUAGCAAGAUCAUACAUGUCUUGAACUGUCCUAAUACUACAUGAGAAGUUGCCGAUGUUGCCCUGCAAUACAAAUGUUGUUACAUUAUUACUUCACAAAGUCUGCCUCGUGUGAUAGUAGAAAUAGGGCAGAAGCCUCACCCAAGAGCUAAAGCACCAGACCAUUGGAGGAGAAAUCCAAGCAGAGCUGACAUAAGAACAGCAGAUGAGUUUUGGAGAUCCCACUUGAACAACAGAGCUCCAGGUGGGUCCAGCCAUGGCAUUAGAGCUAGUAGGAACAGAACUGUGACUGGUGUUGUCUUCCACAUCAACCUGCAAUCCCAGUAAAACAAUUCCCGAUGAUGAAUUCAGGAAAGGCACAAGAUUAUGGGAAAGGGAUUGGAACGGUUCUGUAUUAUUACGCAAGGGCAGUCCAGUUUGCUUGCUGUUGGAGACUAGACCAUAAAAUCUUGUUGAUAGCACUUGGAAUUAUCCAGGCAAUGGCAAUACAAGCACCAAAGAAAUUAAACUGUAAAUCAGUGACUUGUGCAAGUGCCACACCUGCUGAGACAACACCCAGAGCCACAACCUGAAACAACACCAAAAAUAAAAAUAAAAAUAAAAAUAAAAAGGCAGCUUCUUGUUUCAGCCAGUUGAAUAGUUAAACAUUUUCUUGACUCGGUGAAGCUACCACCUUGUUAUGAGAGAUGGUUUUUCUGAAGAGAAUGAAUUCCGCAAAAACAAUGGUUGGGGUGACUGCAAUCUUAGCCAUCUGAUAGAACCCAAUGCUGCAAUUCAGAGAUGAGCACCACUCACUACUGUCAUGAUGGGUAAACAAAUAACAUAUGGAGAAGAGUUAAGCUUGAUCAUCAGCCUUUGUUGAAUACCUGUUAUGAUUGAGACUGGCAUUGGCAAGCCCAGAAGCAAAAGACAUGACAACCCCCAAGGAGAAGAGGGAAGUGUAAGGAGUUGCCUUAGUUGGAGGAGACACUGGGAGUAAAGCCAGUGACUUGAAUAUUGCCAGCAACACCCAAGCUACUGAGUAAUGGAUCAGUGUCAGAAAGAUUGGGUAAUUGAAUCCAACUUUCACCAUUACCUAAAAAAAAUGUCAUACAAAUUUUUAGAAAACAAGGCAGAAAUCAACCAAUCAUCAAGCUUAAACAUUGUGAAUUCGACUGAAUGACUGACUUGACUGACUGACCAUUUUGUUAGUCAUGAUGAUCCCAAUCGAGACCACAAAAUUGAAAGUCAUGGCCACAACAGGUCCACAGAAUCUCUGCUGCUGCCUCUUGGCUCCUUCUGAGGUUCUAAGAUCAUUGUAUAGAGUCCCUCGCAGCUCUUCCAGAGCUCUACCUGGUGGUUGUUCAAGGACAUGAACAAUUUCCUUGACUUAAAUUCACAAAUUCAAAAUAAUAACUAUUUUCUUUAAAGAACAUUUAAAGUCCACAGCUACUUUAAAAAUCAUUGUAAACUACAGCUUAAAUUAAUAUAGUAGCAAUUAUGAAUGUUGUAAAUAAUGUUACGACAAUCAGGUUAGAGAGAGUCAGAAAACCCUCCAACCCAAAGCAGAUAGGUGAUUAAGAGGAAAUAAAUUAAAACAAAAAAAUGGAGAAUCGUUAUACUCCAAAACCGGCACAAACCCUUUCCAGAAAUUGGUUGGGGAAUUUCAACAAACACCUAGAGAUCAAUGGCGGGGAUACAUGAAAAAGAUCUCUGCUUUUGUUUCUCUCUCUCUCGAGCAAAUACUGCUAUAAACAGGAAAUGGCUAGAAAAGUGGCUGAACGAUACCAGAAAACUUUCUUCCUUGAGAGAAGGGUGGCAAAAAUGGAAUCAGGUUAGUAACACGUAGCUCAAAUCCAAAUGAAAUGCAGAAUGUAGGGAAAUGAGGAAAAGAAAACCUGUUUCUCCAGCAUCACUGUCUUUCCGCUUGAUGAAUCUCCUGCCUUCAUUUCCCAGCAAAGAAUCCAUCAACGCCAUUUUAUUAUACAGGGCAAUAAAUUAAAUUAAACAAGAUUCAAACCCAGAGGAAUGCAGGAUGCCCUUUUUUGUCCUUUUCCUCUGCUCUCGACUCGAGUGUUUAAAAAAAGAGUGAUUUCAAAUUCAAACCACCCUUGCCCAAUGAAGAAGAAGAAGGAGAAAAUGAUGAUGAUGUUGUAGAUGGGAUGGUUCGAGCAUGAAUUUAGUGAUGAAACCGAAUGAAGAAGAAUGUAUAACAAACAGAUUUAUGAAGGAGAAUAAUAAGUGGGGUGAAAUGGAGAAUGGAAGAGAAGAAAGAGGAGGAAGAGAAUGAAGAAGAAUAAGUGAGAGAGAAAUGGAGGCGAGGAAGAAUGAAAAUGGUGGCCCUUUGCUUUGCUUUGCUUUGCACAUAAACAACGUCUAUCUCUUCUCUCUUUAUUAUCGUACGCUGUGUUUUUGUUUUCUUGAUUUUUGUAUUUUGUCUUUAGUAAGUAACUUUC